rnacentral:lncRNA from 1 species
GGGACCAUUCUGAAAAUCAAUUGAAAGCCAAUUACUUCAAACACUAAUUUUGAAUUUCUAGCAUUCACUCAUUUCCUUGUUUUCAUCAACCCGUAAAAUGAAGCAGCAAGUAGUUUUUGUCUUAGGCCUGCAAACUCUGAAUUGGAUAAUACAAUAAUAAUAAUAAUAAAAUACACGUUUUAAAAUUAAAUAUUUGCACACACGAUCACAAUUUAUUUCCCUUCAUAACCCCAAUUUUUGCAUGGCCCUCUUAUAGCAUAUACAUAUAGCUACUAUGGUACAAAGGGAGGCAUAUACAUCAAAGUAUAUAUGACACAUGAAACAUAUUGGUAUAUCAAAUAUUCUGGACAGUUCAGUUGGAUAUGGAACAAUGGGAACUCUUGAUAGUACUUCAUAUACCUGCCAUGCAUUCCGGUGGGGUGACCGGGUACCGAGACUUGUCGGUGCAGUAAUCGUAGAUCAUGUGGUUCAUCCGAACCCACCUGUAUCUCCUAGCUUCCAUGGCAUUAAGAGCUUGAUAAGCAGUACCUUCCCACCAGUUCCUAGGGUUACUAGCACAAUUUGCUGGCCCUGGAACUGGACACCCUUCAAUGUCAAAAUCCUUGUAAUAAGCCAAAAAUGGUGCUUUGCUCCAAUCAAUUUUCUCAAGUCCUCCCCUUGUUGCCCAAUCAUCAGCUUCCCAUAGUGUUGAAUAUACCCCCAUAGGUUGAAAUUUUGGGUAUGGGAUGUUUUUUGCUUCAUUGUUCUUGUAUACUCUUAUUGGCACUUCAUCUACAUAAAACCUGUUAAGAAAAAGCACCCAAAUGGUCAAAUUUUAAUGUCAUAUAUGCUUAUUAAUGUCAUAUUUAUAGUUAGAUACUGGACUUACACAAUAUGAUGAUGGUUCCAAAUAAUUGUGUAUGUAUGGAAAUCAGCAGCUGGAUCAAACCAGAGGUUAACCCUUUGUUCUUUAUCACCUUUACCAUGAGCAUAUAUGUUGGUUUGGACCGUGUAUGGUUGCCCGGUUCGGUUUCCCAAGAACUCGAAAUCUAGCUCGUCUCUUACGGUGUCCGUAUCAGAAUUCAUCUGCAAUACCAGAUUACAAUGAAAAACAGAUUAAAGGUUAAAGGUUAUGUCGGUAGGUAGCUUUACGUACGUAAAAGGCGGUGACGGUUCCGGCCGAGUCACCGGGGAUAAGCUUGAUCUUCAUGCUGACACGUCCAAACAAAUACCGUCUUUUGGAAGCAAAUCCACAGCCUAUAAAACAAAAUGAAUUAACAACACAUUAUCGAAGGGUUAACACAUUUAAUCAUUGAUUAUUAUUUUUAAAAAGUUAAACCUGAAUUUUGGUCUAGAAUAAGUUGAAUGGCCCUCCCCCCAUCGAUUUGCUUGAUAUGGGAAUCGGACCAAGUGAUUCUAAAAUCUUCGAGGAAAGUGGCGGGUCGUCCCGAAACCGAGAUCGAACAUGCAAGGAAACAAGAGAAGAUGAAAAGAAAAGCACUGCUUAGAGUUGCCAUUGUCAUCAAUGUUUUGAACUUAGAAGAUUAAAUUGUGGUGAAUAUGUGUAUAUGUGUAUGUAUAUAUAUAUAUAGGUGGGAGAGAUUAAGGUUGAUGUAGACCGCUGCAUUGAAAUAGAAAGUGCCAUUCUUAAGUUUAGCUUUCGAUACAGCUAAUGGCAAGCCGUCUUUAGGCCCUACAUACCCCCCAACUGUGCUCUAAUUUUGCCCUUUGGGAACCUAAUCUUAAUGCUUCCACUUCAUAACUCUCUUUGUUUUUGUUUUCAUUCUCCAACCUAACAAGAAAAAGGGAUCACAGAUAUUGAAAUUUUACAAUUGAAUUGAUCGUAUAUAUAUUGUUUGUCAUGUUCCAUCAUCACAUGAAAAUUUGAUUAAUUUUAUAUAUGGGUGGAUAAUUUUCCAUCUCUUGAAAUUGAUAUGGUAUGAAGGUGGUGUAGAAAAGGAUUGAAGACCAAUGAGGUGUGCCUAAAAAUUUGGGUCAAAUAGGGUUUGGACUUAAGUUCACAAAGGCAGUCUCAUUCAAUAUUGCUUAUCUAAUUUAUCUGUGAACAGCUUAGACUGAUAUUGAACGGCCGGUUGGCCGGAUCCACCGAGUUACAUGCCCCACCAUUAAGUUUUUUGGGGUCUAUUAAUCUUAAACUCUGGUCAAUUCCAUAAGCCUGAAAACCAAUCAGUAUAUCAAUUUAGAUAAAAGGGUUAGAUCGAUUUUAGAGCGAAGCACUUAAAAUUAAAUUUAAACCGUAAACCGGUUGAACUGUUUUUUAACGUUUUUAGUCCAAAUUAAUGGUCCAAAUCGAAAAAAAAUCUCAACUGGUAAAAUCCAAAUACAUAAAUAUAUCAACCCAACCCACUCGAAUACUUAAAAAAAUUAUUAUUAUUAAGAAAAAAAAGAGAGAGGAGAAAAAUCAAUAUAAAUCGAAGUGUCAUUAUUGUUAUUUAUUUGUGUUUAUACAAUUUUGUUUUUAAUUUUGUCAAAUUUUUACUUAUUUUCCAAAUUUUCUUUAAUUUUGGACCAAUCGAACUAAAAUUUGGUGAUCUGAUUAGUUCGAUCACCAAUCCAAUUCCGAAAACAUUGGGGGUAGGGGUUUCAUAUUGAUAUAGUAGACAUCGAUAAAAAUAAGAAAAAUAAGAACACAUGAAUUUCUUCAACAAGUGACGGGAUUCGGGUCACACAAUCUCUAACACAUAUUAACAUGGCUAGCUCUUCUAGAAAAGCUUUUAAAUGUUAAUCGAAAAGUUUCCCAACUCGAAUAAAAAAAUCUUAAAUCAAAAAUGACUCAAAAAUGACAUAAAUAAAUAACUUGAAAUAACUUAACUCAAAAAUUCACUAACAAACCCGAAUAACUUCAUCUUACAAAUCAUCCAAACCCAAAUUAAUAUCAAACCUAAAACCACUCAAAAGUCAUGUUGAAAAUUGGAUCAAAUUCCAUUCCCAUCUUUUUCUACCACUUGACAAUUGUUGUGACAAGGAAUAAUUUCAAACAAAAGUAUUAUCCUAUUUUACAUCAAUUGAAGGGAAUUUAAAGUUAAAACACAGAUAGUGAAAGACUGAGAUAUCUGAAAAUUAUAAGACAGAAAGGGAUCAUUUCUUUCACCAUUUGCAUAAUUGACGUACAAAGAUCCUUGGGAUUAAAGUUCAACCAAUGUUGGCUGCAAACCUCAAUUAUUUUAAAACUUUGACCUCAAAGUCAAUAUAAAAAAAUAAUUCUAAAAAUAUGUAGUCCUUAAAUGAUUAAAUAUGCAAAUUUCCUUGUCCAAAUAAAAUUUUUAAUUUCUCCUCACAAAUUAUGAUUAAUUUAUAAUAAAAAAUAAAAACUGAGGAUCAUGAUUUCCUCUCUCAACUAUAUAUCUCCAGGAUCCAAAUUUAAGUUCUUUUCAUAAGAGCAAAUACGGUUUACCACUGCACUCAACAUUUUUUUUUAAAAAAUUAUGUAUAGGAGGAGGCAAAUUCUCUUAUAUCCUGUAUGUUAGUAUUGAGUUGCGGAUUUGUUGUGUUUUGAGUUGCAGCUAAUGAUAUAAUUGAAAUUGAAAAAGAAAAUGGUUAAAAUAUGUCAUAGGUUCCUGUGCUUUUUAAUUUCAGGAAUUUAGUUUCUCUGCUUUCUAGAUUUCAAAAUUCAAGUCAAAUUAUUAAUUGUGUUAAUUUUUUGGGGUUGAAUUUGUUGGUGUGACAUUUUAAAAUAAGAAAAAAAAACUUACUUGGUAGUAAUGUAACUAAAAUAAUAGCGUUGUAAUGAACCUGAAUUUAAUAAAAUAAUAUUAAUAGUGCUAACAGUUGGACCUAAUUUUACAUCUAAAAAGUAGGGGGAUUAAAUUCCAAAUUUUUGAAGAGUUUAGAGACUUAUAAUAUAUUUUAUCCAAAAAUUAGUUGUAGAAAUAAUUCAACAAUACAAGAGACGAUUUAAGCUCAACUUACUCAACUUGUUGUUGCCUACAUGCAUAUAUAUAUUUGGGGUUAAAUCACUUUUUAGGAUCAAAACAUGGUAACAUUUUUUAUAUUGGGGUUUGAAUUUUUUUUCAAGUUAAGUCAUGAACUUAGCAAUUAUUCUUCCAUUGGGAACUAAAUUUUUUUUAUUCAAGAUAGAUCCUGAAUUAACAAUUUUUCCAAUAUUAGGGUUGAAUUUUUUUUUCCAAAUUAGUCUUUAAAAACCCUAAAAGUUCAGGUCAAGCCUCGAUGUGAGAAUAAUUAUCAAGUUCUUGGACUAACUUGAAAAAAAUUCAAGCCCCAAUGUGAGAACAAUUGCCUAGUCUAGACCCCAAUGUGAGAACAGUUGUCAAGUUCAAAGUCUAACUUGAACCAAAAAAAAAUUUAUACUCCAGUGUAAAAAAAGUUACCAAGUUCAAAUCCCAAAUAAUGAUUUAACACUAUAUUCUAUAUUGAUAAAACAUAAAAAAAAAUCUUAAUUAAAUUAUAAAUAAAAUUAAUCAUGUAAUUAACUCUCAACAUUUAGGGUGCGUUUGGUUCGCUGUAUUGGAUUAGAGGUGUAUUGGAUUAAAGGUGUAAUAGCAAAUCAACUGUUUGGUUGAAUGUAAUGGAAUAGAGGCGUAAUAGUAAUCUUGUGUUUGGUUGAAUGGAAUAGAGGUGUAAUAGUAAUCUUGUGUUUGGUUGAAUGUAAUGUUAAGAUCCGCAAUUAAUUAUUUUUCCCUAAUGAUGAGAAACUAAUUUAACUUUUAUAUUUGAACUAAUAUACCAAUUAAUUUUUUGUUCAUUCAAUGGCAAAUAUUUUAUGGGGCAUGCAUGGUAUGGCAUAUAAGUGAUUGCUGGGAUAAGCUAAUAAAUGCGUUCUCCAUUGGCAUUGAAUUUUGCCACCAUAACAAUAUUUGGGGUAAAUUUCAAAAAUAGUCCCAUAUCUUUGUUUAAGUUUAAUUUUGGUCACCGAUGUUUCAAUUGUUACGUUUUGUAGUUCACUUUUAUAUUCGGACCAAUAUACUCUUUCCCGUCUUCCUUUUCUUUUCUUCUAACCAAACCCUAGUCGCUGCUCACCGCCAUCGAUGGUCCUCCGGCCGAUAGUGCCACCAUAACUCCUCUCCUCUCCGUUCACUGAUUCAGAUUUCUUCUAGACCAAACAAAAGGACAAAAUCCCAAGUUGAAGCUUAAACCUUUUCCAACCGUCAGAUCGGCCGAAUCCCAGGAUAUGUGCCUCUCCUCCGUCCAACGAGGCUUUUCACCAUUGGAUUUGCGAGCAAAUAACUAGAGCCCCGAGAAUUCAACAACCCGAAAUGGGUUUUCUCUUCCCCUUUUGAUUUCCAUUUGCUCUCUUUUUCUUGAUUUUGUAUUCUCUUUUUUUCAUUUCUCUAAUCUCUCUCCGCAAGUUCUCUCUUUUUGAGCUGUUAUUCCUUCUUUUCCGUGACAUGGAAGCCAUGUUAGCAUUUAGUGGUACAGAUUUUUAUUAACACUAUUAACGGCCAUUAACCGACCAGUAAUCAAAUUGAUAAUAAUUUAUGAUCAAAUCAUAACAAUGACCCAAAUAUGGGAUUAUUUUUGAAAUUUCUAUAACACUAUUAAUGCCCAUGGUGGUAAUUUAUUAUUAUAUUAAUUAAAAUUAUAUAUAAUUGAUAGAAAACAUUAAUUUUUGUAAUUAAUUAUCUUCGAUUACUCAUUUUAAGAGAUUAAUCUGCUUCAUAUUAAAAUUGAGAGAGAUUGAAGAGAUAUUUUUACCUAAAAAUUUUUAGUAUAAGCCUCUACCACUUUCCUAGCCAAUCAAGUCCUUAUCAUAUGGUUUGAUUGUCAAACUCAAAAUUAAAGUCAGUCUUUAUUAAAUCAAAUAAUUGCCAAGUGUAUAGCUUUUGCCGGUUCAAUCUUAAUAAUGUAAUCCAUCUAAUAAUAUAUAUUUGUUAAUGGGUCGGCCGGAUCAACUUGUAUGUUUAUCCAAAUUUGCUUAGUCUGAAAUAUAAAUUUAAAAUUUUAUCUAAAUCUAUCUAUAUUUAUAAAUAUUUGGUCUAAAUUCAUUUUAAAUCCGCUCAUAUUAUCUUUAAUUUAUUAUUUAAUAAUUCAAUUUUUUAUUUAUAAAAAUUUUAUAUAUAGACAUCUAAUAUUUUUAAUGUUUAUAUAAUACAUAUUAAAAAUUACAAAGGGUCUAGGCCAAGUCGGACUUCAAAUGUUCAAACUCAAAUUCGACUCAUAUUUUAAACGAGCUUAAUUUUUGUUUAAGCUCAAUUUUACGAGUUUAACCUUUUUAAAUAUUAGACAAAACAUUGAAUUUAAACGAAUAAUCCGAUCUAUGAAUAGCUCUAGAUUAACCCAAGACUCAAUUAUUUGAAAAACAUAAAAAGGGCCUAGGUGGACAAAAAGGUUUAAUGUAUUUUGUUUUUAGCCGGUAAAUUGAGAAUGCUGGAAUUGACAAAGCAACAAUAAAUAAGAAGCAUCUUUAAUUAGAGGCUGGCAAGCCAAUGGCUCUUCAAUUCCUAUUUUUUCAUUAUCUUAUAUUAAUAAUUAAUUUGGAUUAUUUAUUUAUUUUUCUUGAUAAUGAUUAAACAUAAAAGUUUUAGUGUCAUAAAUAGAAAUCGGAGUAAAUAUAGAGUUGUUCAUAAGACAGGUGGCCCACUUAGCUCGUGUAGUAUGAUCCAAUCUGAAUUUAAAUUAAAUUCUUUUUAAUUUUUAUAUAAAUAUCAAUAUCAAAUAAUAUAUUUUAAUAUUUUACUAAUUUUUUAAAUGGUGAUAUGGAAAAUUUUUAAAAAAUUUGAUAAUUAUAUAUUUCUUUCACUACUAUUAUAUAUAUUUUUAUUAAAUUUUCAAAUAUAAAUAACUUACCUUUUUUAAAAUAUAUACAUUAUGAUAUAACAUAUUUAAUUUUCAUAUGAUAUAAGUACAUAAUGAUUAAUAAAAGGAAAAGUUACAUAUCAUAAGCUUGAAAACAUACCGGAGUUGAUAUUUGAAUAUUGGAGUUCGAAUUAGACUUAUAUUUUAAAUGAACCUAAUUUUUUUACAUAAACUCACUCCUAGCAUGACGAUUGUUUUUUUUUUUUUCGAAUCCUCCCAAUUAUUGAGAAGGAAUUUGAGUUAGGGUAGGUAUAUUGACCAUUGAACAAGUCCAAUCAUAGUUAAUAUUUUGAAAUUAUGAUUCAGAUUUUUUAUUGGUCGCUAAAUUUUAAAACUUUCUAACUAAACUAGUAUAAGUAUCGUAUCAAUCAAGUCUUUUCGAAAGUUUAGUCAUUAGCUUGAGGAUAAACGUUGGCUCAAACAUAACAUUGAGCCUAUUUUAAAUAUAUGGAUCAAAUUAUAAUAUGUGUAUCGAAUUUGACGUGUUAAGAAAUGAAUCUCUUAAAUUUAAUUGACGUUGUUACUUGGGAUAAACAACACUCAAGAUUAAUAAAUUAAUAAAUUAAUGUUUUAAUCAUUUAACUUUAAAAAAUUACUAAAUAAUUAUUGAAGGGGCAAAAUAUCAAAAAAAAUCCUAUUUUUUAAAAUUUACCGAAAUGGGCCCGGUAUUUUAUUAUUUACCGGAAUGGGCCAUUUUCCCCAAAAUCGCGUCCACAUCAGCGCGAUGUCAGAUGACGUGUCAGAACAUCGCAUCCACGUCAACGCGCUUUGCUUGCGUGGACACAAAUCGCGCCUACGAGGACGCGAUUUGCUGACGUGGAUGAACAGUUUAUGUUUUUUAGCUUGGAAAACUUUGAAAGGCCAUAACUUUUGGCUCGGUUGUCCGAUUGAGAUGAUUUUUUUUUAUUUCGAAUAACUUUUCGAGAUCUAUGCUCUGGCAAACUGCUAGUUUGCCGCAGUUUUCGUCGAAAAAGAUCAUUUUUUGCCCCUGAAUUUCAAUUUUUCAGUUUAAAAUUAAAUUUUGAAACAUUCAAAUCAUUAUUUUCCUUAUUUAUUUGAAGUAAACACCGGAUUUUUUUUUUACAAAACUGUUGUAUUAUUUUUUCUGAUUUGACACGUGUAUGGAAUAGGUCCGAUAAAUCGUUAGAACGUAAGUAAUAUAAUUAAGAUAAUAACAGUAUUUUUAUAAUAUGUUAAUUAAUUAGUUUAGCUUAGUUGGUUAAAAUGCUUGCUCUUUUCCCUUAGUACCUAGGUUCAAAUCUUGUUGGUAACAAUUUUAAAUCUUUUUUGUACUUGUUGCUGACAAUUUUAAAUCUUUUUUGUACUUGUUGCUAUUGAUGUAAUAUUGAAGAGUUAAUUGAUUAAAAAAUAAAUACAAAUACAAAAAGAUUCAAAAUUUAUUUUUUCGAAAUACCAAAAAAGCCCUAUAUUUUUAAAAUUUAUCGAAAUGGGCCCAGUAUUUUAUUUUUUUGACCAUUGGGUAUUGUUCACGCGCGGGCCGAAAUCGCGUCCAUGUCAGCAUCUCACGCUGACGUGGACGCGAUUUCCUGACGCAUACCCUGACAUCGCGUUGACGUGGAUGCAAUUUUCCGGAAAAAGUACCAUUUCGGUAAAUAAUUAAAAAAUGGGCCCAUUUCGAUAAUUUUUAAAAAAAAAGCUUUUAUUAGUAAAUUGCUCAUUACUGAACUGCUUAAAAAUUUUCAUUUAAAUUACUGAAAAGGUUUUAAAUAUAUAAUUUUACAAUUUUUUUUUGUUUUAUUAAAUAAAUGACCGACAAUACUAUAAGAAAUUAAUGAUAUUUAUUGAGACUAGUUCUAUGCACAUCCCCCGAGGGGGAAUAAAACAAUAAAGAAAAUUUUGGGUGAAAAUUCAAAAUAAUGAAAAAUUAAAAUUACUUAACUAAUAAUUUUUACUAUUUAUCCUUAUCGAUUUAUUUAUUGCAAUGUACUCUAAUUUAUAUGAUUUUUGGUUCUUGUAUUUUUUAUGUUCUUAAAUUAAUUAAGUUAAAUUUGUUAUUUCUAAAAUUUUACAUGGCAAACAUGUUUUUUUUUUCCACAUAAUCCUUGCAAAAAAAAGUCAAUCACUUUAGUUAAUUGAUAAAAUAGUUACGGUUUGAAUCGUGACUAAAAUAUCAAAAUUUAAAAGUUAAGUAUUAAAAAUGAUGAAAUUGGAGAACAUGGUCUAAAUCCAUAAUUUAGGCAUAGUACAAGAUUAAUAGCAUAAUUUGAUUUAACAUAUUUAACUGUCGUUUGGGUUGAGAUUAAAAUUUCAAAUUUUAAAAAGUACAAAAAUUAAAAUUGACCAAAUUAAAGCAUAAGAACUAAAUUAAUAAAUUAUACAUGAUAUAGGGAGUAGGGACCAAUAACAAAAUUUGACCUUAUAAAUGAAUAAAAAGUGCUAAUGGUUUUAAAAACUUACUGUGAUAAAAAAAAUGCAUGAGAGAGAAGUUAAAAUUAGGAAAGUUUUCUAGUCUCAUCAUUAGCUAUUGCUAUGUGUUGGUUUUAUGUGUUGAGUUUAAGACUAUGAAGAUAAAUAUUAAUGCUAAAAUAAUCUCAUAAAAAGACUUUACAAAUAUAAUCGUAAAGUUCAAAAUAAAACAAAAAUCUACAAGAUAUAUCUUCAAGUCAAUCUUCAUAAAUCAAGGGAUCCAAUUUAUUUGACCUAGAUCAGUCCAAACUUCAAGGAUUUGUAGCUUCACAAAAUAGAUCUUCAAAUAUGGGUCAACACAUGUUCAUAAUAUUCACUAAGUCAUGACCCAACUGUUUUGGUUUAAAGAUCCGUCGACAUUAAUAAGCCAAGUUAUGUAACUUGUGCAGAGCCAAAAGCAAUGAACACCGACUGUGGCACUACAUGAGACAUUGCUCACAUAUUGCCUCAACAAUCUCUUCCAACAAGAAUUCUAUAUUUAGAAUAUGAAUCCAUCUUUAUAAAGUACCAUUUAAUCCAUCUAAAUCUGUCCAAAUUUUAUCAAAUCAAUUACCCUUAAUAUAAGAUUACAAAUGAUUGAGGUAAAUCUUCAUAAAAUCAACUCGUGUCUUCUUAGAUUUACAUAUCCAAAUAUAUAAGAUAACUUAAUUUGGACACGAGCAAUAUUACUACUUUAAAAACUUACCUCAACCCAAACACUUGUAUAAACUUAUUUUGUAUGAGAAAUUAUAGAGAAGGUUAAUUAAAUUUUAAUGUAAUUGCUGCAAAAUUUUCAAUUAUUUCAAUGGGAUAAUGAUAAGAAUAUUAUAUGAGAUUUGAGACCCUACAUUAUUGUGAAAUAUCAAAUCAGACCUACAUGACAUUUUUUUUCUUCAUAUAAAUCAAAUUUAAUUUAUAGAAAGUUCUAUUUUGCAUAUUUUAGCUGGAUCACACAUAAAAAAGUACUUUUAAUUCAUUGAAUUUUUUGAAGGGAAAAUCAAAUCAGGUAUAAUUUAAUAUUUCAACAAGCACAAAUAAUUGAUCUUUUGUGUGGUUUUAGAUAAAAAGAAAUAAAUUUUAAAUAAAUUGCUUAGAACCAAUUGAAUAGGAUAAAAAAAUUGAUUAAAUUAAUGGUUGAAUUGAAUUUAUACUUUAAUAAUUAUUUUUUAAAUUUUAAAAUUAUUAAUAAUUUAUUUAACUAAAAUUGAACUGAUAAUCAAUUUGAUCAAACCGGAAAUCGAUUAUCUGAUGAAUUUAAUCACCAAUCCAAUUCUUAAUGCAUGUUUUUGACUUGGACAGAAAUUUUUCUUUUUAAAUUUAAUAUUGGAAAAUGAUUUUUCUAUGUAUUUUUCUUUUUAUAAUGUUUUUGGCUUAAAUACUCAUUUAGCUUUGGAAUUUAUCAUUUUCUCCCAAUUUGGUAUUUAUGGUAUUUUUGUUCCAAUAUUAAAUAUCAAAACCUUUGAUGGAAUGAAAAUCGAGAUACCAACUUGAAAUAGAAAACCAUAAAUACCAACUUAAGAGAAUAUGAUAAAUUCGAGGGUUAAAUGAAUAUUUAAACCAACAUUCACUGAUUCAAGUAUAAACAACUACCCUAUCACAAAUUGAUAGAUUUCAUCCUUCGUUAUAAAACAAAGUUGCUGUGAUAAUUUUAUUUUCAAAAUGAAAUAUAAAAUAAUUAUUAAAUAAACUAAUUAAAAAUAUCAGAAAAUAACAAUUUCCUUUCGGUACUAUCACAGUAUCACUAUAAAUAUAUAUACUCGUAUAUAUAAAAAAAACUAAUAAUUUUCUUUUAAUUAACCAUAUGAAAUCAAUAAUUAAUUAUUACAUUUUUAGAAAUAAUAAUUUAAUUAAAAUUGACAAAUAAUAUCAAUAAAUUAAAGCUUCUAAGAAUAAAAAAAUGAAUGUUAUUAAAAUAAUUAUGAAAAUCUAAUUAAAAAGCUAGCUGCCUCAAAGCUCAUUUAAUGCAUGCAUGGCAAUUGCAGGGUCAGGUAUGCACACGCCCUGAAAAAGAUUGCUCAAACAUUUUCUUACAUACAGAGACUUUUUUGCCUAAAAUUAUACCCUCAAUCAUUUAACAUCUCCUUUUCUUAUCUGCUAAAUUCGAUUUAAUAAAAAUAAUUAAAAAUUUUGAAUGACAAAAAUAUGAACUUUUAAAACCUAAAUGAUUAUUGGAAAAAAAAUAAUUAACAGAGAAAUUUAUAUUUUAAUAUAAUGAUAAAAUUGUACUUUAAUUCCUCUAGUAAUUCAUAAUUCAUAUCUAACUUUCUUUAAAAUAAUUUUCUAACUUCGUCCAUGCUUCAGCAUAUACAGGGGCAAAAUCACCUUUAAUCCUUUUAUAAUUUUAAAAAAUUUAAAUUAGCAUAUGGUAAAAUUACACUUUACCUCUCAAGAAUGAGAACAAAAUUAGUAUAUAAACUAUUAAGAUGAUAAAAUUUUACUUUUACUAUUAUAAAAAUAUACAAUUUUAUUUCGACCCCUCAAUUUCUCUGAAUUUUGAUUGAUUUCCACUAGUUGCCACUAAAUUGUACUAAUGUAGAGUUGAAUUUUAUUCCAAAAAAGCUACUAAUGGUAUCAAUUCAAUACAAUAUAUAUAUAUAAAGUUCAAUGAUUUCGAUAUACCGUUUGCACAAUCAACACGUUUGGUCUAAAUAAUUAUGAAAAAGUUGUAAACUCAUCAUUGAAUACAAGUAUCAUGAACAUUAAAAUAUUUAUCUAUUUCUAUUAUUAAAAACUGACAUGAUUAAUAAUAAAAUAACAAAAUAGUUACAAGUGUCACGCCACGUGUACCUCACUCUAAUGUACAUUAACCAGUUUUUAACAAUAGAAAUGGAUGCAAAUUUUAACAGAAAGACUAGUCUGCUGUUUGAUUUAAUGCAUAAAGACUAACUUACCCAAUUUUAAUAGAAGGGACAAAAUAAAAUCUGACUCUCAGUACAAACAAGACUCCUGGUACUUUUACCUAUUGAGAAACAAUGGAAUUGAAAAAGAAAGUUGGAAGUUCAAAUUCAAUGGGAUAGAAACCUUGAAAGGACAGUGGAUAGUUCUCUUUGAUCUAUAUAACAAGUGAUAUAACAAAACAGUAAUUUAAUUUGAUUAUUAUAAAACCCUGGAAAGAAUCUUACAGUACAAUAAAUAGUUGUUCAAGAAUAUCAACUUGCAAUUCUACUGAGUUGAGGAACUAGCUCCUUAUCUGUAGAGUUUUUCAAAUGUUUGAUGAUUUCGUCGACAUACGGAGCUUCUAAGCAAAUCCUUCUUCUAAGCAUUAACCUAGCAAGCUUCACAGCUUCAACUGAAUGGCUUUGCCGACACAAGCCAACCAAAAGAAUAGAAAAGAUGUCAGUGUCGAUGGAUGAAAUGUAUUGCAUCCGCUCGAUUUCAUUGUAUAAGCAAAAACCAUCUAGCACUCGUCCCUCAUGACAGAUCUCCCUAAUCAUGGUACUACAAGCAAUGCCACUAGGUUUAGCCCCACUUACUAACAUUUUCCUAAAGAGCUUCUCUGCCUCAUUGAGUCUAUUAAUCCUAAUCAAAGCCAAUACAAGAGAACUGUAGCAAUCACUAUUGGAAACACCACGUCCGGCAACUCUAUCGAUCAACUUAUAUGCUUCUUCGACAUGUCCCUCGGUGCAAAGACCCGUGAUCAAAGUAAUAACAGUUAUACGGUUAGGAACACACUGGCAAGCUUCCAUUCUAUCCAAAAUCCUCAAUGCCUCUAUUGUUUGACCCUUCUCACAAAAGCUUUUAAUCACAGAUGUAUAUGUGAUUACAUUUGGACUACAAUUCCCACCUGCUUUCUCCAUCUCCCCUAAUAAUUCCAAUGCCUUUUCCGUACUCCUGUACUUACAAAUACCCUCGAGAAGCACGGAAUAAGUCACAGCAUUUGGAGAAAACCCUUGCCCCUUCAUAGCCUGAAACAACUCACAAGCCUCCUCCAAUCUACCAGCAUUACAGAACCCCUUGAUCAUUGCAAAAUAAGUCAUCAUAUCGGGAUAAAGAUCAAUCAAGCCAAUCUCUUUCAUCAAUUUAUGAGCCAUAUCCAUAUCCCCUUUCUCGCAAAGCAGCCUGAUAACCACAUUAUAAGCAGUAGUAUCCGGACGUAAAUUAAAUUCAGGCAUUUUCCUCAAUAGCAACAAAGCUUCAUCGGCAAUAUUAGCUUCUUUACACAAAUUCAAAACAACCUUAAACAUUUUAAGGUUAACUGAACACUUUUCCAUCCUGUAAGCUUUGAUAACAUCCAAAACAAGAAAUGGGUUUUGCUUAAUUUUCAAAAAUCCAGCAGCUUUGUUGUACAUAUAAGAACUAUACCUACAAUUUGAUUGAAGACCUGCCCAUAUGAAAAACCUUAAACCUAUUUGAGAUAGAGAUAUAUCAAAAGAACAUCUUUUUAACACCUCACAAACACAGUUUGGGUCCAAUUUGGCAUUGACUAAAGCUAAGGUUUUCUCUAUAUUGCUUUGGUUUUUCUCUAAAAGAGUGAAAAAUUUGUCGGCAGAGGAGGCCGAUCUGAAUUGAAGAUUGAAAAUUUUGCUUUGUUUAGUGUGAAUUGAAAGUGAAAUCAAUCUAGAGAGUGAAGCAAUUGGCAUUGCUUUGUGGGGGAAUUUAGUGUCUUUGCAAGAGUUGAGGUUGAACAAAACAAUGAGGUAAAAUCUUACGAGAUUGUUUCCGAAUGAAGUUGGAUAAGUUUUGGCAAGAAUGAGGCCAGGUGUACCAAGUUGUUCGAAUGUGGCCCAGUACGGUGGCAUCAACUCAUAGCCAGGCAACCAUAACCUCAUAUAUGGCCCUGCAUUAUAACGAUAGAGCAUUAAGGUAACUCACAAUUACGUAUGAUUUUCAUUUUAUUAAAAACAUAACAGUAUCAAGCAUAUAUCCGUAUUUGAUGUUCAAAUAUGAGUCCGGUGUGUAAAAGCGGAAACACGACAUUUCCUAAAAAUAUUACCAUAUUAGCACAAGUCAGUGAUGGCUAAGCUUCUAUUACAUUGAAAGAUUGUUAAAUCGAAACCUGCAGUUUUAACACAUUAACUUCAUCAAAGUGGAAAAGCAAAACCGAAUUUUAUAAAAAUUAUAAUCGGAAACGAAAUUCACUUUGACGGAAACCGGAAUAACAACUGAGUUUAGUCGGUCGGUCCCGUCGGUUAAUCAUACCGAAAAAAUAUCAUGAAAAAAGCUGUUUUUUUUUUAAUUUACACAAACCAUAAUGAAAGUAAAUUUGUAGUAAAUAAUUGAAUUUCCCAUAAUUGAUCGCAACAAAAAACUCAAUUUACAACCAUAAUUAAUUGGAAAGCUAAUCGAAAGUCAUAAGCUACCUGUUUCAUCUGGCUACUACUUCAAAGGACUACCAUAGAAUUUCGAAAUGGGCCAAAACUAAUUUUAGGGUAAAAGAAAAGUAGGCGAUGAGCAAGACGACAAAGUUGAACAUCAAUAGAUUAAAUAGUUUUAAAAUAAAGAUUGAACAGCUAUAUACAGUAGAUUAAAUGUGGCAAAAGCCAAAAAUAACUUACAGUGGCCGGUGACGAGGCGUUUUCCGAUGAGCAAGGCGGCAACCGAGGUCAGAGAAAGGUUGAAGGCGAUGAGCUGUUACCCACCGGCGUUGGGUUUGCUGGUUCAGUUCAAGGCUGUUCACCAUAGAUUUAGGCUUUUAUUUUUAAUUCGUUUAAUUUUUUUCUUUUUUAAAUGAAUUAAAAUUUGUAUUUGGGUUUUUUAGUUUUUAGAAUUUGUAUUGGGCUUUAAUUUUUAUAGCUUGGAUCUUGUGUAUAAUGACUUUAUUUGGGGAUUGGAAAAUGAGUAUGAUAUUUAUAUUUUAAAAAUAUAUAAAAUUAAUAAGUUAUAUUAAUUCGAAUUAGAUUUUAAAAUCGAUUGACUUAAAAUAAUUGAAUUAGUCUCUCAAAUCGAUCUGAAAUUAAAAUUGAUUUAAUUGAAUUAAGUGAAUCAAAUUUAAUCGAUUAAUUCGAUUUUAACCAAGUUUUCAUCAUCUUUAAAUUAAGUGAAAGUAUAUAUGUAAAAAUGUAUACUAUAUUUCAAACACAUAAAAGAGUUGGUAUCACGAGUCAACUGGACGCUAACUUAAGUGAAAAUACCCUUACUUUACAAAGUAAAUUGUAUUAUUUUAAGGAUGUUUUUGUCUUUCUACAUCUUUUAUAUAGAAAAAUGUAUACAUAUAAUAAGACUUUAACUUGUGUAUUUAUAGUUUCAACAUUUAUACUUUACAAUUCAACCGAAGUCUCAUUUACUAUAUUAAUUAAUUAUAAAUAUAUUUAUUAAUAAUAUUAUGUUUUUCGUCUACGUGGUUGUGUCAUAAUCUAGUAAUAAUAGUAAAUAAAGUUUAUGCAAUUUAGGUUAAGUGAGUCACAGUACACCCAUCUCUUUACGCGCAUUUCGUUUUUAUCCCAAAGCUUUAAACUCAGCACGCAGUCCUAGUCGUUCGCCGCAAUACUUCGCUUUUCUUCAGUGGUUUCUGGCAUUGAUUUUGGUUUCAAUAUGUUCCCCUUAAUCUCCUGUCUACUAUUCUAGGAUUAUAUUCCAACAUCAUUGGUUUUCUCUAAUCUAAACUCAAAGUUUUGGUUGGCGUGCUUUCGGUCUCCCUCGCACACUGUUAACUACAACUCAAAUCUUAUAGUAGUCACUUUGAGCUUUCCAAAUCUAGUUUGACUAAACUUGGGUCAAUGAAGCAUUUCACCAACGCCAUUCACUGCUCGACCUUCUCAUGAAGCCAACGACUUGUUCCUUCUGUUCUCAUGAAUUGUAGGUUUUAUGUUUUCCCUAAUUUUUAUUCCUUGUUGGAUUGCAUUGUGUCACGGGUCAAGACUUUAGCUCCGAUCAUGUGUGACUUUAGAUUCGACUAAGUAAGCCCCAUUCAAUCCAACGGUUACAAUUGAUUACAAUAAAUGGUCAAUAUCACAUUCUAGAACUUUCCCACUUAACUCCAUUAAAUUCUAUACAUGAACGGAUAGUUCUAGAGCUUCCAAAAAUAUUCUACAUGGUUCUAAAGUCUUUCGGGGCACUUCGGGAAUCUUGUGGCUCAAUAGUCUCGUGUUUGCUCGAUUUCGGGCUUGAUAAGGCCUUGCUCACUCACGAAUCAUGACACUUGGAUUAGUUUCCUUGCUUUGUCUCUAUUUUUUUUUCAAUUGCAAACUAGGAAAUCAAGAAAACUACUAGGUUUGUGCUAGGGAAUUUGCUUCAAGGGUAGGCAUUUCAACCCUUAAGGUUCUUUUGGAAGGGUAAGGAUGAAGGUAAAAAUGGGCUAGACUGUGUUAACCAAAGGUUUCAAAGAAUUUGACAUUCAAGAUUGUUAUAUUGCUACCUCGGCUUGGGCAUGUGGUAACAUGAGAAGCGAUUGAGGAAACACACAUGGAUGGCCUUCCACCUUAUAUCGUCCAUAUGAUUUCUCAAUGACCAAUCACCUGCAUGCUUCGUACUACCCAGGGGAAAGAUUAUCUAUCCUUAACCACUCGAUUGGAACCUUCGUUAGGCCACCCGCUAUUAGCUAGUGCACUCUCCUCAAGAGGAGACCUUCGAGUGGUGUAAUUGGACAGGAGAACUCCUACCUAUAAAUACCACAAGAUACAACAUAAAAGGGAUCUUCUUCUUCCUUCUCAUAAACCCUAAAUAACAUACUAAGCCCUUAGUCUCCUCUUAUUCCCUCACUUUUCCAACUCUUCACUUGUUUAGAUUAACCAACCUCCUUCGCUCCACCACCUUCUCCACCAUAUUUCCUUGUUUGUUGAUAUAUUGUAUCAACAAAUAUAUUUAAAAUAAAUAAAAUAUAUAAAUAUAUGAAGUUUGUUAAGUUGAUUGGUUCAAUUAUGAAUAUUAAUAACCUUAAACUGACUAACUUAAUCAAAAGCAUGUGCCAACUAAUUUAAUAAAAUACACAAACCCGAUAUCGGUUUAACCGAAUGAACCAAUUAAAUCAAUAAUAUUCGAUUUUUGCUUACCCUAUGUAUCCAAAGAGAAAAGAAAAUCGAUUUUCAUCCAAUUUUUUUAUUCGCUCUGCCUACCAUGCGGUGAAGGUUGAACUAUAGAAAGAAAAAAAAAACCAUGCCCUUUCCAAUUUCAAAAUCGAAAAUUUUUCAAUCAAAGUACCAUAAAAGCUCAUGUAGUAGAAGUUAAAUUGUGUUUUGUCCCUUUUACUUAAAAAAUUAAAAAAUUAGUCUCUAUAUAUUAGGGCAAGGAACAAAUUGGUCCUUUUAGCUAAAAAGUUCAUCAAUUUUUAACAAUAGAAAUGGAUAAAAUUUUUAACAGAGGACUAAUUGACUCUUUAAUCUAAUAUAGAUUAAUUUGGUUCUACUACAGGGUCAUCCACGAUACAUUUACCAAAAAUUUUCUCAUAUCACAUAGGUUUCUUUUUGGUUUAUAUCACAAGUGUCCUUAUUCGAUAUGAGAUUAGUUUCGCUCGGGUUAAGAAUGGAUUCGAGUAAAGCCCUCUCAAUAAUGAGAAUUCUAAAAAUCGAACUUAACCUAAAUUACCGACGGAAAAAUCCACUCUUUCCAAGCACUUGUUAAUACGGUUUAACAAUAUAUUUAGACAAAAAUAAUAAUAAUUGAAAUAAUCUACAUUCUUCUUAUGAUACAUCUGUGAUUUCAUAUCCGUUUUGUAAGAACUGGUUGGCGUUUAUGGUGUUUGGUUGCUGUUUUUUGUUCCAUAGUUGUCUUCUUUCUUUGUAUAUGUACUGAAUUACGGCUUUUUCCUCUUCUCAAAUGCUCCUUUCAAUACUGUCAUCCCACCCUAUCUUUCAAAUUCUAUUGCCUUUCUUUCUCUAUCUUCUAUUAUAUAUAGUAACUUGUCUCUGUUUCCCAAAUCUUUGUUGGCCAUUGUAGCUUAAACAAAAGCUCAACACCCGAGGUUUUAAGAAAAAAGGUUUGUUUUCCUUUUCUGCCUUCUCUUUUUUCCUUUUUGUCAUUCGCUUCUGCAUUAACUUACUUGUCCUUCGAUCGUUACAUCAUUUCAACAGACUGUGAUAUAUCGCCCGCCCUUAUAAUAUUAUUACCACUCUCCUCUUCCGUUAUAAAAAGUAUCCAAAUUUUGCCAUCGUUUUCUUCAUCAAAAUGAGCCAUAGUUUCAUAUUUUCCCUUCUUCUUCUCUUGAUUUUAAGCUCAACCCAACUGAGAUACAAAGCUGAAGGUAACUUUUAAUCAUCUUUUUCAUUAGGCAAUUUUUUCUUGCUUGCUUACUUUUGUUUCUGCAGGUAGAUCAAUACCAAAAUCCGAUGAAGAAAAGGCGAGGUUAAGAGCACAGAUAGGAUCAAGGCCACCAAGGUGUGAGAGAAGGUGCAAUUCAUGCGACCAUUGUGAAGCCAUUCAAGUGCCUACCAAUCCUCAAAUCUCCCAUGUUGCUUAUGCAAGAGGUGAUGGAAGCUCUAACUACAAACCCAUGAGUUGGAAAUGCAAAUGUGGCAACUUCAUCUUCAACCCUUAGCUCAUAAAUACAUAUAUAUUUUAGGUUCUUAAAUACCCAUUUUUGAACCAUGUAAGUAUUUUUCUUUUUUUGCUUGUGAGAACAUAUUAGAACUCCAUUGUGAAAUUUCUUGAUUAUCUGAAUCUUUAAAAAGAAAAUGAAUCUAUAGUACUUGCUGUUGCUGUGGGGCGUGUAUUUGUACUGGUAUAUACGUACUAAGAUACGAUUUCUUGGGCAAAUCGUUAUGACGUUGGGAGGAAGGGGGGUCUAGAAAUUAGUGUAAAGUAUUUACUUAAAAAGUAGACAAUGAUUUUUGAGUUGGUAUAGUUUCACCAUACACGCCAUCGUGUCUGGUUUUGGUGUCAACUAUUGUCGAAAAAUGCGAUAGGAAUUGAAGUGAUCAGAGAGGGUAAAGGAAAAAGCUUAAACUGUUCUUUUAAUGGCAGAUUCCAGUUGUUUUUUCUUCUUAUUGCCUCUCUUCGUUGCUUACUUGGCGUGUAAGGAAUUACAUAGUAACGAUUCCGUUUUCCUUGAAAACUUACUUGAACAGUCAGCUCGCCUGGUUUCGUUAACAUGACAAAACAUACAUGGGUCUAAAACCAAAACAACUUUUAGGAUUUAAUCUAAUUGUCUGAAUUGAUUAUCAAGAUUGCUCCGUUGGUUUAUUUCAUUGUUUCAUAAUGAUUAAUUCGAUUUUUUAAGUAUUUAAAUUAGAUUAAGUGCAAUUUUCAGUAAAAUAAACCAAUCCAUUUAAUCAACUUUUCUAUUUUUUUUAAAUAUGUUUAUAAUAUAUAAUUUUUUUGGGUAAAUAAAGGUAGUAGACACUAUUAUAAAUAACAAUCCCUCUAAAUCAUCAUGUAUUAACUCCAAAACAUGAUCAGUUAGUUACAAGAAUUUGUAAAACCUUAGCUCUUAUCAAAAGAUUUAUUUAAGUAUCCGCAACCUUAUUACCUUCUCUGUUGACAUGUGGUAUCUUCACUUCCCAUUGGUUUUGAAUCAAUUGUUUAACAUCUCAAGCCACUGCAUACUAAGGUACAUCUUACGUAGAGUUCUGCAACAUUUGGAUAGCAUCUAAGUUGUCCAUCUCAAGAAUCACCUUCCUAAUACCCAUACUCCAAGUUUGUCGUAGACUAUUAUAAGCUUCCCACAGCUCAACUUCUACAAUUGAGCAUAUAUCAAUCUUUUGGACAAAUCUUAUCUUCCAUUAUCUCGUAUGAUCUCUAAUAAUAUAUAAUUUUUUAACUAAACUUUUAUUGCUAUUUUUAUAUCUCUUACAAUCAUAUUUGGAAGGAAAUAUCAAGAAGAAAAUCAGCUCAAUUUACUUAACCCGCCUAAGAAUGAAUGUUGAGCUUAGAUAAAUUAAGAACUAAAUUAAUCUUACAAAGUUAAUGAAUUAUGAAUACGAGUUGAAUAGUUUAAGGUAUGUUAGACAUUAUUUUUAGGAAUAUUUAUUUAUAUUUUAUAAGAUUUAACAAGUUUUUCUAUCAAUAUAUUACACGCGGAAAAUUCAUCAUCUAAACUCCUAAUGAUGUACAAUGACUUGUAAAUAAGGGUGUCAAAGUUUUCUUUAAGUAACGUGAAAUUUUGUUUUUACAAUUAAUCUACCUAUGAGAUUAGCUAGUUAAAUCGAUUUGUUUUCAUUUUUCAACUAGACAGAUAAAGGUCUUUGCCACCUUAAAAAUGAAAAUUUGUGAUUUAAUCCCUCUGUAAAUGAUAAAUUAUAAAAUUACAUUUUAAAUUUAAAAUGAAAAAAGAUCUAUUUAAUUCCUUUAAAAAUGAUGAAAUCUUAAGUUAAUACAUUAUAAAAAUUAUAAUUCGAUUCUAACACCUAAUAAGUUUCUAGAUAUGACCAUAUACCCCAACCAUUAAAUUGGUCUUUCACAAAUUCUCGUAGAUAAAAUAAUAUUGCAGAAACCAUAUUAACCAAUUAUUAUAAACACAAAUCAAGCAAAAGGAGUAGCUUAAGUUAAGACCCAUCAAAAACAACGUUUUGGAUCCAAUAGAGAGGAGUAAAAAUCCUCAACAAAAUAUACUAAAGAAAAAAUAAACAAUAGAGAGCUGUUUCUAUACAAGAGGAAAUGAAAAGACAGAAGAGAGAAAAAAAAAAAGGAACCAAUCAAUCAUGGUGAUGAUGAAGAAGAGCUGAGGAUAAGAGUUGAUGGGAUAUUUCAUUAUCAUAUUGUAUGAUUAUUUUUUCCAUCUAUGGGUUUUUUUUAAAAAAAAAACUUUGUUUUACGAAGUGAAAUUCGCUAUACUACAAAAUUCAUGCAUAGAUCUUUCACGUAGACAUGACUAAACAAAGGGUUUUCCUUGCAUAUAGGUACGAUUUUCUUUGUUUUUUUUGGGGGGGAGGGGGGGGGUUAAAAUCAAUCAUAUAAACAGUGGGAGCAAAGGAAAAUAUACUGAAUGACAGUAGCUAAUGGAUAGGCAGACAAGGUGCUGUUGCAGCAAACAAGUAAUGGGGUCAAUACCUAUAUGGGUGCUCUUUGUUGGCUCAAGUUUGGACAGUAAACAUAUACGUUUGUACAUGUAAAUUUUGGAAAUCUAUUAUUCUAUUUUUAGGUCAAUUGUAGCAUACAUCUAGAAUAUUGAAUUGGUUUUCAAUUAUAUUUGAGUUUUUUUUUUAAUUACAAGAGGAGGGCAAAGUCUUAACAGGAACACGUUUUAAACUCAGGCCAUGCUUGAGGUGAUGAACACUCUGAUCAUCAGGCCAAUACACGGGAUAAGUUUAGAUGUUGAAUGUUAAUUUGAAUUUAACAUGAAUUAUAGGGUUUAAAUUUUGAUUAAUGGGGAGUCAACAAUGGGUAUUAAUAAUUGAUCUCUUAUGUUGUUGUCAUCCAUAUAUUUUAAAUAUGCUUCACAUUAAAUCAAAACUAAUAUUUAAUGCCUGAGCUAAAUGGCUUACUUGAUGUGAUACUAAUAUUUUAAAGAUUCAAUUAAAACUUUUUAUAAUUUAUGAACUAAUUUAAAAUAUGGAUCGCUAAUGUCUUCAUUAGAUGGAGAUAGAUUGAAGAUUAGUUCUAAGCUUCAGGUUUAUAAUAGAGUUUAUGUUCUGGGAUAAUCUCUGAUGUUUAAGUCAAUGGAAGAAUGACGAUGAAAGUUUGAAAUAAUGUUGUUAAGUGUAUAUGUAGUGGUAAACAUGUUUCUUCUUUAUCCUUGAGCCCCUAGCUGUGUCUAUAGUCAUUGUUCUUGAAGACAAACGAAGAUUAUAUUUAACUCUUUGUUGAAGAUUAUAAUUAGUUGAAGUAUGCGUCCUUAAUUGGAUAAGAUUAUAUUUUUAACUCUUUGUUGGGUACAUGCAACUUAGUCAUCACAUCGCACAUAUAUAUGCACUUGAGAGAUAAGGGGCCUUCCAAGCUAUUGUUUGUGAGAGCUCGAGGCUUUAGCUCUCGACUAAUAUAACUAACGUUAUAAUUUGAGGAUCACCGAUGAAUUAAUCAUUUACUUUUUUCAAAUUUAUUAAAAUAUUAUUUUAUAAAAUAAUUAUUUCCAUCCAUUAUAUAUUGAUUUAAAUCAUGAGUUAAUGUCACCUUUGACCCAUAAACAAUAAUAAUCACACGAUUAAUUCUGAUAAUUACGUCUAUAAUUGUGAUGUAUAAACAUAAUGUGAUAUUCUUUAUGGCAAUUUAAAUUCCUAAGAUGAAGUGACAAAUGACAUAUUUCCAUAACAUAGAGAAAAAUACUGACGGUACAAUAUGCAAAUUCCAGUGGCAAACUUUGCAUCAAUUUAUUAUAUGACUAUAUUUUUGGUACAAAUAAAAUUUAUAUUACAUUUUAAAAAAUUCACAGAAAUCCAAUUCUCAAUAUACGAUAAUGGUUUUUUUUUUUUUAAACCUAGAUUAUUCACUACAUGUAGUAAGGCUUAAUUUUUUUACAGUAAAUAUUCUCCGAAUAAGUAAAUGAAUAAUCAUAAAAAUUGUGACGCUUUUAUUCCUUGUCGAUUAAAAUAAAUUUAUUUAAUUAAAAUGGUAAUAUAAAUUUAGAUUAAGGAAUAACUUACAAGGAUGAUCUUAAAAAUUAAGGUUUUUAGAUAUAAAUAAAUUUUGUCACAUCAUUAAAUUUUAAUGUUAUAUACACUCAUCUAUAGAACAAUUAUUUUAUGAACCAUUCUCAGUACCACAUGAUUCAUGGUCCAUUUCCAAUUAUUUAACAAUAUUUUAACAAAUUUUUCCAUGUCAUUGACACAUAAUUUUGGUAAUUUUUUACAUUGAAUCUAGAUUCCUGAACCCUGAUGUAAUAACCCGAUUUUAGGCCUAGUCGGAACAGUGGUUUCGGGACCACAAAUCCGACGAGAAAAAAAAUGUAAUGGCCUGAAUUUUCAGAGGUGUCGGAACGGUGAUUUGAGAUCACAAAAUUUGACAAAUGGGUAGAAAAUAUUGUUAAUUUAGUAAGUAUAAGUUAAAUGUGAAGUUAGGAAAAUUUUUGAAAUAGUGAAUAGUGCACUAGAAAUAAAUAUUAAAAUAAUUAGAAUCGAAAUGAGGUAUCAAGACCUCGGGGAUUUUAAACCGAGCCAUAAAUAUUUUUAUAAAUAUUUAUGGAGUGUCAAAAAGUUAGUAUUAAAGUUUCGUUAAGAAAUUUUAAAGUUCUGAUAAUUAAUUGAACAAAAAGGACUAAAUUGUAACAAAUGCAAAAUUUUGGGAAAUGAUUAAAUAGCUUAAAUGAUAAAAGGAAGAGGGCUUAAAAGGAAAAUAGACCCAAGGUCUAUUUGGGCUGGACGGCAAAGGCAUGAAAUCAGCAAGAAAGUAAGAAGAAUUAAGGGCAAAAUUGGAAUAUUGUAAAAUUUGCUUAAUAAAGUUAGGACCAAAGUGGAAUUAUCUAGAUUUCUCUUCAUUUUUCUGAAUUCUCAUCAGCUAAAACACCAUGGAAGGGCUUCUUCAAGCUGGUUCUUCAUAUUUUUAUUACAAGUAAGUUCAAUUCUUGACUAUUUCUUGAAAUUUUUGUAUUUUUAUGACUUUUACAACUAGGCCCACUUGUUAAAUUCAUUAGUUUUUGAUUUUAUGAAAGAAGUUGAAAGUUGAUAUGAAUAUGUGCUGGAAUUAUAUGAUGAUUUAUCAUGAAAUUAGAGCUUUAAAUUGUUCAUAUGCUGAUUUUAUUGAAAGAAUUGAAUAGAAAGUGAAUGUUUGGGACCUAAUAGUAAAAGAGUUUGAAUAUAGAGUUAUAUGUGGAAAUUCUGAAUUUAAGUAGUUGUGUAACAACUUAUAAUGUCUAGGUAAAGUAUUAAUUGAGAAAAUUAGAUUAAUUGAGGGGUUAAUUGAGAAAGGACCGAAUUGUAUAAACUGUGAAAUUUGGGGCAAAAUGGAAAUCAACAUUUUGCACUAAAGCAGUUUUGGACAGCAGCAGUAGUGUAACUUUGAAAAAUCACCAAAAAUUGUAGAGAUUGAAUUAAAGGAUGAAUAAAAUAUGAAACUAAAGCUUAUUGAGUCUAGUUUCUUAUAAAAGAAACUAUGUGAGCAAUAGAAUUGUAAAUCAUGAGAUAUAAUAGAUUUUGUGAGACAAGGUCAGAAUGAAUUCGGGUUCCCCUGUUCUGACUUUGGAAAAUCAUUAAAAAUUGUAAAAAAAUGAUUAUGAGUUAUAAUUUAUAUGGUUAGAAUCCUUAAUGAGUCUAUUUUUAUAAAAAACAAACAAAAACAUCAUCUGAGUUCUGUACAAUGAGAUAAUUAAUUUUUAGUGAUGAGUGGUCGGAACUGUCAGACAGCGAAACAGGGGAAAAUUUAAAGAAUAAACUGUACUAUUUGACUGAACCAAAAAUUCUGAAAAUUUUAUGGUAUGAAGAUAUGUGAGUCUAGUUUCAGGGAAAAUUAACGGAUCUUAAUUUGGAGCUCUGUAGCUCUGGAUAAAAAUAAUUUAGUGACUCUGACUCGGAUAAACAGUUUUGAAUAUACAUGUGAGUGAAUAGUGAAAUUAUAGCUAAUGUUGUUUAAGUGUGUUAUACACAUUAAGGAUGUGGAAUGGAGAGGAGGAGGAGGAAAAUUGGGAAAUAUUUGAAUGAUUUGUGUAUAAUUGGUCAUGGUUUAAGCUCAUGUGUGAAAAUAAAAGUUUCAUAGUAUGUGUGUAUGGUAUAUUCGGUAUAUGAUUUGGCAUGAAAUAAUGUCAUGAAUGGUUUAUGAAUUAACACAUGUUGGUAAGCCUGAUACAUGAAUAAAUGUUGUGCUCAUCCAUGCUUAUAAUGCUUAUGCUAUACGUGUAUUUGGCUAACAUAUUUGGUGUAUAUGCUUAGACUUUGGCCAAGUAGUGGCUAGAUUAUGCCACGUUAAAUUUAUAAGUUAUGCAUUGAAAUGGUUUAUCGUGUGGUUAGUUCCAAAAAGAGUCAUGUUUAAAUACACUAGCUUGCAACUAUGGUUGAAUGAUAUGCUUAUAUCUUGUGUGAUGUGCAUAGAAACAAGUGUGGAAAGAUAAUGAAAUAAUAAGUUCAUAUGGCUGAAAUUUAAUGAUUAAAUGUUAAUUUCAUGAAUUAUACAAUGUAUGAUGAAAUGUAUUCAUUUUUGAAAUGAGAGUAAAAUAAAAAUGCGAAAAUCGAAUAAAUGAUCAAAUUAAACGGAACGCCGGAUUUGAGUACUUCUGAUCAAGAGAUAAAGUGAUAGGUGGUAGCUUUAGCUACACUUAUCUGAUCAAGUGAAAAAGUGAUAAGUGCUACACUUAUCUGAUCAAGAGACAAAGUGAUAAGUGGUAGCUUUAGCUACACUUAUCUGAUCAAGUGAAAAAGUGAUAAGUGCUAUACUUAUCUGAUCAAGUGAAAAAGUGAUAAGUGCUAUACUUAUCUGAUCAAGUGACAAAGUGAUAAGUGUUAGCCUUAGCUACACUUAUCUGAUCAAGUGAGAAAGUGAUAAGUGGUAGCCUUAGUUACACUUAUCUGAUCAAGUGACAAAGUGAUAAGUGUUAGCCUUAGCUACACUUAUCUGAUCAAGUGACAAAGUGAUAAGUGGUAGUCUAGCUACACUUAUCUGAUCAGGGACAAGUGAUAAGUGAUCAUACGUAAUACCAUAGUUAUACUAUGGCAAAGUGAAAGUGAAGUACUCAAUUUUCCGUAACCGUUCCCUAAUUUGAUUAAGGAUGGUAAGUGACAAAUGGACCCAAAAGAAUUAAAGUAAAUGGAUAAGUGGUAGUGUAUUUAUAUCAGGACGAUGUUGUUAUUCAAGCUAAAGUGAUAUUUUCAUUGCAAAAUUGAGAAUUUCAUAAAUGUGUUAUUGAAUGGUAUAAUCAAUAAACAUUGAGUUAAAUGGUAAAUAUGUAUCAGUGUUGAACUUGAUGUCAUUGAAUUGUACGUGAGUUAAAUGGAAAUUGCUAGUGAUAUGAUCUAAAUUGUGAGCAUGAGAAAUUGCGAAUUGAAGGAAAUGGAAAUGAAGCAUUGAAUUGCAUGAGUAUGUAUCGGGUCUCGUAAGCCCUAAUUAUUAUGAUUAUAACAUUUUGAGGAUAUAUUGUGAAAAGUUAUAGGAGCAUGUUAAUUAUUUUGAAAGUUAAUUUAGAUGAAAUUUUAUAACUCGGUUAAAUACGUUUACAAGUGCAUGUGUUUUGGUAAUGUCUCGUAUCCUAUUCCGGUAUUGAAUACGGGUAAGGGGUGUUACACCUGAACUCAAAACCUAGAACCUCAAACCCUAAACUCGUAGCCCGUAACCUCAAACCUAAACCUUAAAUCUUGGGGUUUGGGGUUCAAGGUUUAAGGUUCAGGAUUCGAGUUCAAGGUAAAAUAAUUUUCAAAAUUAUGUGUCAAUGACAUGAAAAAAAAUUGCACAAAAAUUAUUACUUUUUAAAAAAAUGGUUGCACAAAAAUAAAAAAUGUUAACUUAUGGAAAAAAAUGAUUAAAUUUUGUAAAAAAAAUGUUUGUUUAUAAUUUAAAAAAUUAAAUAUUUUAAGUAAUUUAAUUAAAGUUAAAUUAAGUUGGAGAAGAUAUUGGAUAUAGAUAGUGUAUUAUAAUAUUUCGUUAUCUUUAAAAUUUAAUGACGUGGUACUAUUUUAUUGGUGCCUAAAAAUUAUGCUUUUUAGAAUAAUCCUAAUAUGAUUUAUUCCCAGGACAAUAUCAUAAACAAUAUAUGUAUGAUUAAUAAGUACAAUUACAGUUAUAACCCUAGUAUAAUUACAAUACGAAUUACAAAUAAUAUAUAACCAAUCAAUUUAAUGUAAAAUAUAAUAGACUAAAACCUAAAAUAUUAUCUAGAUUUAAACGAGAAUAAAUCUUAACAAAAUCUAGACAUAAUAAACUUAAAUCCAAAAUAAUCUAAAAAAAAAAUCCGUAUCUCAAUUUCUACCAUAGUAUAAAAACUUUAUUAGGUUUUAAAAAAUUAAAUCAAUUAAUUUGCUAUUACUUAAAUAAGUUGAUUAUAUUAGUGUAAUGUAGUUUAGAUUUUGUCCAAUUAAUUAUGAAAGAACAAAUGUAACUUAGGAAAAAUUGAAAUGUUUGAAAAUCUUUGAGAUAUAUUCUCGAUUGGUAAAGGUGGAGAGUUGAAUCAUAAAACUAUGAUUUUAUAUUCUACUCCAUGAGGCCUUUACAACAGUAUAUCAUAUGCUCAAAAUGGUUGAGUAAUGAAUGAGAAAUUGAUAUUCAAAGCAAGUUACUUGUGAAUAUUUGUUGAGGAAAAGGAAAGCUUGGAUUCCACAUUGGUUAAAUACCAAGUUAAUAUGUGUGUAUAUAUGAGAAUCCACUUGAAGGGUGAUUGAAUGACUAAACUUGAAAUUUUACUUUGCGCGUAAAAAGGGUGCAAAUCUAAACACAUCGGAGUUAGGAUACAUCUGCACGACGUAGGCGACACAAAAUGUCCGAACCGAUCAAGCUAAUAUUGAGUUUUCGAAUAUUUUAGUUCAACAUGAAAUUUAUUUUUCUCAGCAAAUAUAUACAAAAUAUGAUUUAAAAUGACAAAUAUCCUGAUUUUAUUUGAUUUGAUUCCAAUUAAAUUGAUUUAAUUUCUCCUUUAAUACAGAUUUUGAUAUUUAUUCCUCCAUAUUGAAUACCUAUAAAAAUCUAAGAAUUCUUUAGAAUUUUUUGGACACACUCUCUCUCACAUCGAGUUUAUUUUGCUAUCCAGAAUUCUUCUCUUUUCCUCUCCAUAUUUUCCAAUGUUUUCAGUUAUAGAAGAAGGCAAUGUUUGUUCGUUGAUCACCACCGAGGUAUUAUUGCUUUGAUCAUCGUGUUGUUGUAUCCUAGGAGAUAGUCGAUCAACGUUUCUCCAAGUAUCGUAGGAACUGCCAAAUCUGUCUUUAGGAAACUAUGUAAAACAAGCAUCAACAUUUUAUAAAACUCGAUUCUUUAUUCGAUUUCUGAUUUUUCAUGAUCAUAUUUAUUUAAUUUAUUUUUCAUAUUUGGUAUUUUAAAUAUAAAUAUUUAUUUAUAUUCAUAUUUGUUGACUAACUAUUUUGCUACAUUCAGUCACCACAACAUGUGAAUAUUUAUGUCUAAAUACAGUGAUGUUUUUAAUAAAAAGAGAUUGAGCAAAUCAACCAAUUGAUAUUUUAUUAAAACUUUUUUAUUCUUAUUGCAUGUUCUAUAAAGCCACAUUUUUCGCUUUUAGCUGUGAGUUGCAUCAGGUCUAUUUAUUGUGUGACGUGUUAAUUCACAUGUUAUUUAUCAGUUAAUAAUACUUAUAAUAAAUUUCUUAACUGAUUUACAGAAUAUAGACGAUUAGUUAUUAGGUUCGUUCGAAUAAUUACUUUAAAAAAAUAUGUCGUUAGUCCUCAUACUCUAUAGAAUUUAAAACUUAAUCCUGUUAAAAAUUUACUUAUUUUACUUUUUCAAUUAAAAAAUCUUAGUUCAAUCAUUUUUGUCGUUGAAAUCUAUUAGUAUAAUAUGUUUAUUUUUCGUCAAUCAUAUACCAUGUUGCUUAAAAGGCAACCUAAUCAAUAUAGCAAAUUAACAAUUUUUUUGGAAAAUAUUUACAAUUUUAAUGAUUGUCUAGGAAUUUUUAAAUAAAAAAUAUAUGAACUAAAACUUAAAUUUUAUCAAAGUAGAGGGACUACAUAUUUUAACCAAUAGAUAAUAUUCAUACCAAUUACACUAUAAGCAUAAGUGAUGAAAAUUUGAACAAAGCGAAACUAAUCCGAAAAGGAGUUAAGAUCCGCUCUUACUUUUUCAUUUAUUAAUAUUCAAUACAAUGAUCAUCGCCAUUUAAAUGUGUAAGACCCAUGUAGGACUCAUCUAUUAAAAAUGAAAAUCAACAUGUGAACAAUGAUCAAAUAUGCAUGGAUAUUAAUGGAUAAAAAAGUAAUAGAGUGGAGUCAAACCUUUCGAAUAGAACAAGACAAAACCGACACAUAAUGAAAAUUGGACCCACAUAUCGCAAUUAUAAAUUGUACGACUUGAACUUGGACCUUCAAGGUUUGGAACCUUAACGUUUGCUAACUAUGUUAAGGCCUCAUUGGUUAUAAUUGACAUUAUUUUUAUUUGCUCACUUUUAAAUAAUAGGUUUAUAAGUUUAAAAAAGCCCUUAAAAUGUAAAAAAAAAAUUAAUUAUUAAGCUCCUAUACUAAAUUCACACUCAAUUAAGCCCCUACCAUUAAUUAAAAUAAUCAAUUAAGCCCCUCCAUCAAAGAUUUUGUCAUUGACCACAUUGACCGUUAAAAUAAAUUGAUAGACCAAUCGGAUGGUAACACAUAAUAGCUUCUAGUUUAAUCUAAUAUUUUCUCAUAAAAAUAUUUAAAAAUUAGAAUAAAAAUUAUAAAAAUAAAAUUAUUAAUAUUAAAUUUAUAUAAACUUCUAAAAAUUAUAAAAAAAUAUAUAAAAAUAAUAAAUUAUAAUAAAAUAAUAAAAUAUUUUUUAAAAAUAUUUAAAAUUUUAUAAAAAUUUUAAAAAUCAUAAAAAUUUGAAUUGGACCGGAUCAGUUUAUUGGACAGAUUAGACUGAAAUCGACAAAGAUAUCGGUACAGAGAAAGUUAUUAAACUGAUUAACUUAGGAAUUGGACAAUUGAAACGAUUUUUUAUUUAUUUAAUGGAAUCGGAUGGAUCUAUCGAGCUGAUAAAUUAGUGAUUUGAUCGAUUCGGCUAUUAGUCCGAUUUUAAAAAUUUUAAUUAGAAUAUUUCAUUUUGAUAUAUAAUAAUGGUUAGAAAAAGAGAUUUUGAUACGAUAAUAAAAUUUAAAAACAUUAAAUUACCGAUCACCGACUUUAACAUAUGGGUGUUGACAUUUGACACGUGGCCUAAUUUGGGGGGAAAAAAGUGAAUAAUUUUUGUUUGAUGUUUCAAAUAAUGAGUUUAUAAUACUUACCACCUCCCGAUGUUGAGUUCUCUUCCAAAUUGACAGCGAUUGAUGCGGCCAACUCAGACAGAACGACACAGUUUAAUAUCUGUGUGCUUUUCACGCGCUUUUAAGAGUGUGAGCAAAAACAGAAAGAGUGAGAUUGGCAGAGAGAUGAUGAGUUUAAAUUGUCUAAUAUAUUUUUUGUUAUCUAACUAUAGUAUAAAUUCUAAAUUGGUCCUCACAUUUUAAAAUAUUCUAAUUGAAUCCUUAAACUACAAUAGCAUAUCAAUUAUGUCUAUGUCAACCUAGAAAUUAGCUUAAAUGUUAUAUUUAAAAUAAUAGAUCAAUUUAUAAAAAGACAUAUUUACAGUUUGAAUUCAUGUAUUUUAAAUCAAUUGACAUUUAUUGUCUAAAUAAACUGAAGGAUUUUGUUGAUAUAAUAUUAGUACUUUGAGUUGAUUGAGUCUUAGUUCAGUUGAUAUCGAUAUUAUUGUUAGUGUAGGAGGACAUGGGUUCGAGUAUGCUAAAGUGCAUUUAUCCUCUUAUUUAAGGGUUGGAUGGGAUUAUGAAUAGUUUUAGGUAUUGUAUAAAAAAUAUUAAUAUUUUGAGAUUUAUUUACAAUUGGAUCCAUGUAUCUUAAAUAUUCUUCACAUUAGAUCUAAACUAACAUUUAAUGUUUAAAUUAGCGAUUAAGUUGACAAAUUUUUUUUUUGGGGGUUGAGAUAAAAAGCUUUGAUUCAUACAAUAUAUACUUUGAUAUAGGAGUGCAGCGAGGGAGGCAUGCAAAGCCCUAGCCCUUCUAAAAUGAAAAUUUAUUGAUUUAGUCCCCUAAAAUUUACAAAAUCUUAAGUUAUAUUUUACCUCGUCCCAAAAUGCUAAUAUUUUGAUCUAGUUCUUUUGAAAACCAUAAAGAUAUAAGUCAACAUUAGAAUAAAUUUGUAUUUUAGCUCUUAUAAAAAAAUAUAACUUAAUCUCAGCCCCUAAAAAUAUAUAAGCUAAUAUUACGAUUGGGUCCACCUGUUUUAAAUAUUAUUCACAUCAAAUGUGAGCUAGUAUUUAGCACCUAAAUUGACAAUUAAGUUAACAUAAGGACUAAUUUAAAGUCUAAUCAAUCCUUUAAGGACUUUUGAUUAAUUAAUCAUUUUUAGCUAAAGAAUUUUUACACAAUUACCCAUGAUGGAUUCUCGAUCGAUCUAAAGUAAAGUUUUAAUCUUUAACUUAUAUAUUCAACUAAAUUAAUAAUUUUUAAUAUAAAAAAUACAAACUUUAAAUGUAAACAAAUUAUAUAGACAUUUAAUAAAAUGUAGACACUUUUUAAGAAGCACUCCAUAUGAACAUAUAUGUGGUGUUGAUAAAAAGGCACUGUUUCCACAUUUCCAGAUCCAAGUUCAUUCAGCCACCGACACUCAAAGUUUCCUAAUCUCGAAGUCAAGUUUUUUUCUGUCUUCUUUAAAAUUUUCCUGGAAACUUAACCAUUCUCGGGAUUUCCCAAGAAAAGUUAAAGUCUCUCCUUCGUUAGUUUUAGUUUCCUUUUGGGGGAUCAUUUGGAUUCUGGGUAAGUGUAUCAAUGCUUUCUGAAUUUAAUUUUCAAGUAUUAAAAAUGGGUUUGCUUUAAAAAUGCAAGCUGUUGAUCUGUUUCAGAUUAUAAUCCACUUUUCGAUCCUGCAUUUUAUUCUUUUUCCACUACCAUUACUGCAAAAAAAAAAGUUGCUGUUUUUUUUCUUUUCUGUUUUUGUGCUUUAUUAAUAGUGAUUUUUGUAUUUUUGUUAGCUUAAGGUCUAAUAUUUACUUCUUCUUUUUUUUUUUUGGAAUUUUCUCUUUGGAUUGGAUUAGUGUAAUUGUUGUUAUUAUUAGUAUGCUGGGAAGUGAAAAGUUGAAUUGAAUAUCAAUGAUUUUAAGUUUUGUUCAUAAUAAACUACUACUUGAAUAUUUAGUUCAUGGGUUGAUCUGGAUUUUUCAUUGCAUAAACACUGUCGAUUUGAUUUUUUGCAUUAAUUUCUUUCAUAUGAUUCAUUUUCGGCUUUAUUGCAAACUUCUAGUUGAUGAAAUGUUGUGGUAUUAUUAAGUUGAAUUAUAUGAAUAUGUCGGAUUUUGAAGAAUUUCGAUGUUUUUCUGAUGUUUUGCCGACAGGUUAAAUCGAAAGGAAGUCCGACAUGUUCCGGCUUUCACCUGGUAGGAACCAAAGAUCGAAAGGAUUGAAGGUGAAGCAUGCUCUACAAAUAUGUGUUCUUGUUGGUAUUUGCAUUUGGCUGCUUUACCAAGUUAAGCACUCCGGGGAGAAGAAAGCGAUUUAUGAGAAAUCUGGGAGCGAUGUUGUCAAGUUGGGGCGAAAAGACUUCCCUCGAUCGGAAGGGAUGACUGUUACAGAUGCACGGCAUAAGGAGGAAGAAGAGGAAGAAAGUAAGAAUGGAGAAGAAGAUAAUAAGCCUGAGGUAACCGAAGAUGAAGGAAAUGGGGAAGUCAGUGGGAUGCAUGAGCAUGAUAAUGAGAAACCCGAGGAGGGAACCGAGCAUGAAGAACGUAGGAACGACGAUAACGAAGAGACUAUGGAAAAUGAAAACAAAGGAAAUGAGGAGACUCGUGAAGGCGAUAAUGAAGAGAAAGAGAACAUCGAGGAUAGUCGAGAAAAGGAAAAUAAAGGGAUUGGGGAAGAGAGCAAUGAGACGGAGAAGAGUGAAGGUGAGAUAGAGAAUGCAGGUAGCUCGGAUGAUCGGGUUCGUGAUGGAAUUGAUGGGAAUAAUGAAGAAGCGAGAGAAGAACAUUACAAGGGGGAUGAUGCUUCAAGUGAAGUAGUCCAUGAUACCCAAAAUGAGACGAGUGGUUCAGAAAAUUCCAACGAGGCUGAGCAGUUGGAAAACAAAGAUAAGAAUGACCGGGAGGACGAAACAAAUAGCAGUGAAGCGGCCAAUGUCGGUCAUGAAGAGUCGAAUGUGCAAGAAAAUGGAACAGCUGAAAACAAUCAAGAAAGCAGUAAUGGGAGUAACGAAGCCGAGUCUAAAGAAGAUGCACAUCCCGAUACAGCUACGGAAUUGAAUGAGAAUCUGACAGAUACAACACACAGUUCAACCGAGAAUGUAAAUGGUAUGGUUCGGCUAUCUGAGAAAUCGGAUUCAGGUGGGAAUGACGAGCACUCGGAUUCAAAUACAACCCCUACUUCAACUGAGAAUGGGGAUGGAGCUAAUGGAGGUUCUACAAGUAAUUCGGAUUCCGGUGAAUCAAAUGGACAGACUGAAAAAUCGAAUGCCGGAUCAGACAGCAAUUCAAAUGCUGUUCAGAGUGAAGAAUCAAACAAUAAUUCUGGAGGAGAGGGGACACACACAAAUGAAAAUUCAAAUGCUGACCAGAACAGUGGAACAUCGUCGAACACUAAUGAUAAUGCUGGUGCAGGUCAGAAUGAGAAUGAUAGUAGCAAUUCGAACAAUGACGGGAAUGCGAAUGGGAAUGGUGGCAGCACAGGCAAUCAGAGCAACACCAAUGACAAUGUAAAUGCAAAUGAAGAUGUUACUCAAAAGGAAAACAACGAUUCAAGUUCAAAUGAAAAUGCUGCACAAAGCAACACCAGCAACAAUGAAAAUGCGGGUCAGGACGAGAAGAAUGCCACUCAGAGUAACACUGACAACAAUGAAAAUGUGGGUCAGAAUGAGAACAAUGCUGCUCAGAGCAACACUGAGAACAAUGAAAAUGCGGGUCAGAAUGAGAGCAAUGCUGCUCAGAGAAACACCGAGAACAAUGAAAAUGCAAGUCAGAACGAGAGCAAUGCAACUCAGAGCAACACUGAGAACAAUGAGAAUGCGGAUCAGAACGAGCACAAUGCUGCUCCAAGUAACACUGAGAACAAUGAGAAUGCGGGUCAGAACGAGAACAAUGCCACUCCAAGUAACACCGACAACAAUGAGAAUGCAGGUCAGAACGAGAACAAUGUGACUCAGAGCAACACUGACAACAGCAACAGCAACAACAACAACGAAAAUGCAAGUCAGAACGAGAACAAUGCUGCUCAGAGCAGUAACAACAAUGAAAAUGCAAGUCAGGAUGAGAACAAUGCAUCUCAGAGCUUCACCGACACCACCAACAACAAUGAAAAUGCAAGUCAGAACGAAAACAAUGCUUCUCAGAGCUACACCGACACCACCACCAAUGAGAGCAACGAUGCCAUUCAGACCAAUACCAACAGCAACGAAAACUCAAGUCCAAAUGAGAACAAUGCCGUUCAGUCCUCCAAUAACGAAAAUGCAGGUCAGAACGAGAACGAGAACAAUGCUACUCACAGCUUCAACGACAGCAACGGGAGCAGCAAUUACGACACAAAUACAGAUGGAAACACCCAGAAUAAUCCCGACACUUCUUCAACGAAUCAAGAAGUAAAAGAAGGUGAAACCGGUUUGGGAACUUUGCCAGGUACCACAACAAGUGAGGGAAAUAAAAGUGAGAAUGCAGCUGCAGAAUGAAAUUUAUAAUGGUUUGUGAUUUCAGUAUAUGAACUAAUUACUGUCACUAAAUUUUUGUUUUUCUUCUUUCCUGAUAUGGGAUCGGGAAACUGUAUGUUCCUGGUUACUUGUGCCUUUGUUGUCAUAUUAGUGCUGAAAAUUUUUAUAUUAUUUUGUACUUGUAGAUUUCUAGUUAUAAUAAUUGAAGUUCCCCAGUUUUCAUAUCUUUAUGAGGAUAUAUAUAAUAGGAAAGAAAAUCCUUUUUAGGUUUCUCUUCAAAUGUGUCUCUUGGUGCUUAAAUCAUCCUACAAAAAUAGAACUGCUUGACAUUUGGGAUAAUUACAUCAAAUAUUCUCAACUAGUCCUCAAAUUAUUAAUAUUGUAUUAAUCAGGUCUUUCUACUAGUUUAGCUAUCAAUGCACUUCGAAUUUGACGAAUUAUGGAUUCGAAUAUCCACAUGGAUCUUUUUUUUUUUUCGGAUUUGGAUAAUAUUCGGAUUUUAUGAUUAUUAUCUAAUAGGAAUUUGAACUGGAUGUGAAUAGAUGUCUCGGAUAUUCAAUUAUCCAAAUCCGAUUACUUGUUUGGGUAAUGGAUGUAAAUUUAAAUUCAAACACCCAAACCUAGUGGUACAAAAUACUUAUAGUUUUGAUUUUAUAUAUCUAAAAAGAAUUUUACUGUAUUCGAAUUCGGAUUUUUGCAGAUGUGAAAAUUCGAAAAAUGGUUAGAAAUUUUGAAUUUUUUUUUUCAAAUUUGAAAAAUGACAAUUUCAAUAAAUUUUAGGACAGUUAUUAUUGCUUUUAAAAAAAGUCAAAUAUAAGUUGUUUAUGCAAUAGGUACACUCUAGACAUAUAGUUUAAGUAGUAUUAAAUGUUCAAGCUAGACAAAAUGACCUAAUCGAUACAAUACAAAUACCUUUAAAAGGAUCCAAUUAAAACCUUUUAAAUUUUGAGGACCAAUGAUGGUAUUAGCCCUUUUUUUCUUUCAAAAUUCCAUGAAUUUAUUGCUUAAAUUGCAAGGACCAAUGGGGUUGGUGAAGCCUGAUGGUGCCUCAAUACCUUAUUAAUGGACAUCCCCACUCCUCCCAUGGUACUUGCUAUUUAUUUUGUUAGGUAAUUCAUAAUUAGUUGCUUUUGUGUUGCUUCAACAUGCAUAUUAUCAUUAAGAAAGACCUGUGGGGAUCUAUUUUUAUGAAAUGAAUUAGAUAAAGUACUAAUUGGUACAAUCAAUUAUAGCUGCAAUGUUUUCAUAUGGAAUUUUCUUUUCUUCCAAAGGACCUAAUCAUGAACAAUCAUUUUCAUUUUAAAAAAUACAACAUGGUGCACUCAUAUGGUAAAAAAAAAAAAUUUCUUGGAUAAUAUAAUUUUUGGCCCCUGAAUUUAGCAACUAGGUCCACUUUGGUAUUUGAACUUGACAACUAGAUCCAUUUUGGUCUUUGAACUUAGAUUCUAUCAAGAUUUAAUGAUGUGACCAGUAUUACUGAAACAUGAUUAGAUUAGACUUGGAAUUGAUCGAUAUAAUGGUCCGAACAAAGGGUUAAAUCGAUCGACUCGAAAAUAGCUUGAAACUGGUAAAAAUUGAAAAUCGAAACAAAAAUCAAUAGUUGAAUAAGUUGAAUUGGAUUAAUAUUUUUUAUGAUUUUUUAAUUAUUAUUUGUCUGGCAGUCGAAUUGGUUGAAUCGGGAAUCGAUGGUCUAGCCUGUUCAACCACCGGACCAAUUAUUAAAAUAUUGAAUGUGACACUUUGAGAUUGUAUGACAUCACCACAUAAAAAUUUAUAUUAAUUUUUAAAUUUUCAAGUGAUGAUAUUGUGCUUAGUUGUAAAGUUCAAGUCUCAAAGUGGACAAAAAAUAUAGGUACCAAAAUAAAUAUUGUUGCCAAGUUCAGGGGUCAAAAUUAUAUUAUCCAUAUUUCUUUCAUUUGGUUGGUAAAAGGAUGGGUUGUCAUCUCAUCAAGAGCAUCUUUCGAAAAGAGAGAAAUAUUUUAAGGUUAAUAUACUAUUUGGUACCUAUAUUUAGUUUGAAUGUUUAAUUUUGUACUUGAGCUUUUAUGUCCCAAUUUGAUAUUUGAGUUUAACUUAAAUGUUGAAUUUAGAACCUAGGUCAUUUCAAAUUGAUACUUGAGUUUUUCUUUGUCCUAUAUAAGUACUUAAAUUUAACUUCAAUGUUCAAUUUUAUACUUGUGCAAAAGUACCAUUGAGACCCCUAUACUAAGAGUCGGAUAUCAUUUUGCCCCCUCUACUAAAAAAGAUGACAAAUUCAUCUUUGUACAUUAGAUUAAGAAGCAAAUUGGUCCUUUUGAUAAAAAUUCCAUCCAUUUCUACUAUUAAGUUAUAAUUGAUUAUUGUCUACUUGCUUGAAUUAGUCCCUCCACAUAAAAAGUUUCACCCAUUUCACAGUUUAUCAACCAUUCAUUUCUUCUAUUAAAAAUUUCAUCCGAUUUGCUUGAAUUUAUACCUCGAUGACAACAUGAGGUACACGUGGCACGCUAAGUGUCAUUGUUUGGUUGCUCCAUCAAGCAUGUUAGCACUUAACGGUAAAAGGGGAUAUUUUUUUUAAACAGAAAAUCAAUUUACUAUUUAAUCUAACGUAUAAGGAUUGAUUUGUCCAUUUUUCGAGUAUAUGAGUCAAAAUGCAACUUGACUCACAGUACAAAGGCCUCCAUGAUACUUUUACCUUUAUACUUAAGUUUUUCUUUUUCUCCCAAUUAAGUACCUAUACUUUUUUUUUUGCUAGAGCACACAUGUCAAACAUUUAUUGGACCGUAUGGUGCUGUUCAGUUUGAGUGCCAAAUUGAAUAUUGAAGCCAAACUCAAAUACCAAAUUAGGACAAAAAACUCGAAAGCCGAAUUAAACAUUGAAGCCAAAUAUAAAUACCAAAUGAUAUAUUAACCCAAACAUUUAUCUGUGGUCAAUUUUUAACACCAACAUCAAUUGAGUCAGAAUAAAAGAAGAUUAAUGUUUGUUAAAGUAAAAUCUCAAGUCUUUUAGUUUCUUUUUUUAAGUAAGUUUAUGAGUAUUUAAUUUUCUUUCUAUCGAACCCAUGUGAUGUCAUGAUAGUUAAGGGUAUUUACAACCCUAGGUGUAACCUAGGUUCGAAUCACACUAAUUACGUUCGUUGUUUAGGUUUUGCCCUAUUAUUGUAAUUUACAAAAAAAAAACUAUUUUUAUCUAAUUUUCAUAAAAUUAAUCCACAUGUUACGAUUUUAUUUGAGCAUCAAAUUGAAUAAUAAAAUUAAACUUAAAUAUUAAAUUAAACAUUGAAACCAAAUUAAAUACAAAAUGACAUGUCAACCUAGACUUCGUCUCAACAUAAACAAGACAAACUUCAUGGAUUUGGUGCACAUGGUAUUGAUCCAUAUUGAACAUUACCAGUCUUUUGGUACCAACAAAAGCAUUCUGAUAUUCUAAAUUAAAUUUAAUACCUUAAACCAACUUUAAAUGAUUAUAUUUUUAUGUUCAUCAGUUUUAUAUUUUCAUAAUUACAUUUAAAUUUAAAUUAAGUUAGAAAAUAGAAUUAAUAAUUUCGCAUUUUCAUAUAGAUAUAUUGUAUAAUAUAUAUUUCGUUAAAAAUUUAAAAGCAAAAAAUAUAUGUAUAAUUAUUUUUAAAAAUACCCAAUGAAAACUGAUAUCGGUAGGCAUCAAUACUAUAACAAAAACUAUAUAUGCCCAUACUAAUAUUUUGGCUGAAAAAGAAUAUAUCCUUCUUUGAGUAGUUCAUGCAAGCAUUCAAUAGAACCAUAUCCACAACAAACCAUUCAGUAAUCUUAUUAUUUCGAAACAGAGUAUGGUAGGCAGGCACAACCAUAUAGAAAACCUGAUGAACUUGCAAUUCAAAGUCCAGAAACUGGAAAUCGAGUGCUAAAAUUACAAAAGAUCCACAGAAUUAUCUGAUUGAUUUCUCAGAGAAAUGAUAAAAAUGCGCCGAACUCGGAAAGAUAUGCAUCUGUCUGGCCAUCCCUAGUGAUGCUCCUUUGUCUCAAACAGACCAUCCGGACCUGAAUAACAUGAUAAAUAAAACAAUGAAAAGAUUGAAUCGACCGAUUAGAUAAAUGAGUAACAAUAACCUUAAUAUAUGACCAUCCUUGAUUAAGCAUACAUCCACUUCCAAUAUUGGAAAAUUAGAAACUCCAAAUGAUAAUAUUAAAUUUUAUACCUAGAUUCCUUGAUCACUCAUGAACCUAUUUCUUUUAAAUAGGCUCAUCAUCAAUCACAACAAAAAAUUCUUGCUAGGUCAAGGGUGGCCAAGCCUACAACAGCGAGUAAAUAGCAAUGGCCUUGGUAUCAAACUUUACGAAUAAGAAAAUGGUGGUUUUUUUUAGUUCAUAUGCGAUUGUCAAACUCUCCUACCAGUAAUAACAGUUAUCUAGAAAAACAAAAAUAAAAAAGAAAGGCAUUCUUAGAUUAGUUUUUCAUUAAAAUCACAAAACGAGACACAACCAAAACAUGUUGUUUAUAAGAUUCCUGGGUUAGAUAACAUAAGAUACAAUUAGAGACAAGCUAAACCCAAUAAUGUAACUGUAAAAAUGAUCAAAUGAAAAUGAGUUUAGACCAGGUCUUAGCAAUUUAUCUAGGAAUUAGGCAUGUGGAAACAUAAGCAAUGAAUGUAAGAUAGGCUGAAAGGAAAUUUUUCACCUAGAAUUUAGUUUAGGACAAAAACUAGUGUUAUAGUUAGUAAUCUAACAUAACAUAGGAAGUAAAUACUGCGUUACUUGGCCUUGGGUGUGAAUGUCAGAUAUAGGUAUGUAUCCGACGCAGGCUUUUCUAAGUUUUUCCAUAUAUUUGGAUGAUCACUGAAGGUCAAAGCCCCAUAUCCAUGUGUCGGACACAGGUACUUCAGGAAAAAUGAAGAGUCUAAGUAACAUAGAGUAAAUAUCCAACAUGUAACACAUUCAAAAUAUGACUGCAAAGAUUAGGUGAAAGAGAGGAAAAAGAUGGCCAUUUUUUUCCAUGGGUAGAAGAUGGAAAACUAAUGAUUACUAGUAACCAAAUUAAGUUAAAACAAGACAGACCAUAAUUGGUUGCCGAUAGCAUGUUGGAUGUUUCCAUAUUAAUUGAUGAGCAAAACAUCACUAUGAGUUGGCAACUUUUAAGUCUCCAUAUAAAUUACCUAAGCUAGUGUUUUGGAUGCUUGAAAAAGGAAUUGUUUUGAAGAAAAUGAAUAGGAUUUAUUAGUUAAUAACCAAAGCCAAUAAAAGUAAAUUUGGUUCUAGUUCUGCCUUAGAAUAUCUAAAAUUGUCUAGAAUUCUUUACAUUUCUCGACCUUUAAGCAAAUGGUGCAAAAUGAAAAGAAAAUCCAGCAAUGUUAUCAGUUAUAAUUUUCAUGGAAAGACCCAAUAGAGCCUAAACAGAAAAAUUUAAAUACCAAAAAGAAAAUAAGCUCGAACUUAAACAACUCGAAACCGGUAACAAUAAGAUUAACAUACCCCAUGGGAACUCCUUAUUGCGAAUGUGCAAAUAUGGGUAUGCCUGCAAACAUUCAAACAUCAUGACAGCAUCCAAUGAUAAAAAUUAAUAACAAAAAUAUUUUUCUUAAAAUAUAUAAUUAAAAUUAAACAUAAUAAAAGUAAGCUUACAGGAGGCUCUUCAUGGUGGGGAUGACCUUUUGAUAGAUUAUAAAUCGCUAAAACAGUGCAGGUAGCAGCACCUAAAUAUGUUAUCUUUUCCCAUUUUGCCGUUUCAUCUGCAAAUAUAUAUAUAAAUUCGUGUUAAAUCAAAAAAUAUAUAUAUCUGAUUUUUCCAAGCCGUUUUAAGAUUUUCUUUUCCCUAAGAUCCAAAACUACGAUUCUUUUAAUAAUCUAAAUUUUAUUUUACUUACUCUAUUUCUAACAUAGAUUCAAUUAAAAUCAAAAGGUUAAACUAGAUAAUAAAACCCAAAAGUAAAAAAAUGGAACAACUCAAAAUAUAGGAAAUCAAUAUAUUAAUAAUAUAAAAUUGAUCCAAAUCAGAUAAAAUAUUAAAAAAUAGAAGAAAGGUUGCAUACAAGCAUCAUCGUGAUGAGAAGAGGAAGCGAAGCCACGCUUGGGAGGAGCAGUAGGACGAGAGCCGCCGCGAAGGGCUGCUCGGAGGAGACCAGAUCGCACACUCGCCAUCGCCAUUUUUAUCGAUUUCUUUUUUCUCUACGACUUGAAACCCUUGUUUUCUUAUACGCGAUAUAUUUUAGUCAACAAUUAGAUUAGACCAAACGAGAAGGGUUUCGCACGUGCAAAGUGCGUGGCUUUUGCCCCUUUAUUUCUUGUUUUCUAAAAAAAAAUCUGAUAAUAUUGCAAAACAAAGGUGAUAUAUUUCAUAAAUAUAAAAAUAUAAUAUAAUUGUAAAAAUAUUGUGGAGGCUUUUGUAUUAGGAUUUGGAUUUAAUUUUGUCUCUUUACUCAGUAAUUUGAUAAAUUAGUCUAUUUACGUUAGAUCAAAUAACAAAUUGGUCUUUCUGAUGAAAAAUUCAUUCAUUUCUAUAGUUAAAAAUUGGUCUCUGUACACUAGAGUUAUCCAUGGGCUGAAUCGGUCCACCCAAAAAAUCCAUUUCACUGUUCAAAAAUAAAUAAAAUAUUAAAAGCAUAUUUUUAUUUGAUAUUCUAUAUAUUUUAUAAUUAAAUUUAAAUUUUAAAAAAAUUAUUAUUUAAAUUGAAUUCGGGUCAGGUCGAAGAGCAAAAAUUCUUAUCCAAGCCUAGCCCAAGUUGGGUUGGGCCUAUAGGACCGGGUAGCCUACCCGACCCUACUAUACGCUAGUAUAAGAUACACGUGACAAACCACAUGUAACUGUCUAAUUAUUCUAUCAACUAUGCCAAUUUUUAACAGAAAAAAUGGAUGAAAAUUUUAGUAGAAAUGAUUAGUUUACUCUCUAAUCUAAUGCAUACGGACUAGUUUACUAAUUUUUUAAGUAAAAAGAACAAAAUAUAAUCUGACUCCAAGUAUAUAGGCUUCCAUAAUACUUUUACCCAAUAUAAUAUGCUUAAAUAUCUAUACUAUAUCUAAUUUGCCGAACUAAAUUGAUGUCAGGAAUCGAUUGACACCAUCUUAAUUAGAUAAAUUAUUUAAUUUAUUUUUAAUAAAAUAAUAAAUAUUAAUAUAAUGAUAUUUUUCUAAAUAUUGAACUUAGGUUAUGAUUUUUUUUUCAUAAUUACCUUACCGCUUUGUUUACUAUUCAAUUAUUGAAGAAUCUUUUAUAAAUAUAUUUUUAAUAUUAACUUGUUAUAAAAUCAAGUGAUAAUAAUUAAAAUGUAUCAUAAUUUUAUUUUCAAUACACUUAAUAAUGAGAAACACAAAACACUAUAUGCAAAAAUGCAAAUAAAGAUCAUAAAAAAUAUAAUUAUUUAUCUUUUUUCUAAUUCUCAAUUGCGAUUUUUAAAAAAUAUAUGAUAGCAAGAUAAAUUUGUAUUUUAAUAUAUUUAUAUUUAGCUAAUUAUUCAAUAAAAUGCUAUUAAAUUUAGAUUUUUCUUAUCAAGAAUGAAGUUGAUAUGCUAAAUUCAAACUCUUAAAAAGGAUGAGCUAAAUUGGAACAAAAAGCAGGGCUUGAUUGAAAGAUAGAAGAUUCAAAUAUAAUUGGAUAAAGAUUGAAGGGUUGAAGAUUUUUUUUUAAGUGGCUGGAUAAAGAUUAAAAGAUUUUUUAUAUUGUUACAACUCUAUAAUUAGUUUAAAUUCUAGUUUAAAUUUGAUUUUUAAUUUUCAAAUUAUUUAGUGAUAAUAUUUAGAAAAAAUCUAGCUGAAUUUUAGCACUAAAAGUGUGUAUAAAUAUCUAGUGACUACAACCAAUUGAACACAUCUUCGUUUGACAUUUAAUAAAUUCUCUAUUUUUUUUCCUCUCCUGCGUCUUUGCCAUUCAAUUUUGCAGCUUCAAUUGUUUUUUGUUUUGAUUUCAACCUUUUGGUUUAAUUUUCUUCUAAGGCCUUGCCCUUUUCUACUUUUCAAAAUUCCACUUAAAUUAUUUAUUUUCAAGCAUGAUUUUUUCCAUGAUUAACUAAACCGUUUUUAGCUUUAGCCCGAAAAUUGCUCCAACAAAAUAAUCGUGAGAUACGAACCCGCUCAAAAAAAUCUCUCAAUUCGGUAUUCGUUAUCUCUCCGGCGUAUGGGAUAGUAAAAAUUCAUCCCUCAAAAUUGAUUCAAUUUCAGCUAAAAAACGCGCGUUGGGUUGCAAUCAUUUGACGUACAAUUGGGAAGUUGAGUCGGCAGUGAUGUAUUCAAAAUCCCACAAACAAAUUGGUGUGUUCAAUUGAAAAAAGCUAGUUGGAUUCCGUUAAGGGAGAUGGUGAUCGGAUUUAAACGACCCACAUGGUUGAGGCCGUUAAUUUGAGUUGGGCUUUUCAGAUCGUAAGGCUGUCGAAGUCUUAAAUUACGGGUACGUGCCACGUGGUUAGAAAUUCAACAAGGGUUGAUUUUCAGGUGAUAUCGAGAUCGACUACGAAAGACAAAGUUGGCAGUUUGAGAGAUCCUUGAUUGUUAUAACAAGCUAAUCGCUUGGAAGGGAAAUUUUGUUUCAAGGAUCGAUUCAAGAUUGGAGUACACUGAAGCUAAGACUAAGCUUAAAAAAUAUUUUAUUUAUCUAUUUAUUUUAUUUUCUUAAUUUUAUUUUUGCAUUUUCGAAUAUUUUUUAUUUUAUUUUUUUAUUUCCCUAUUUUAUUAUCUUAAUUAAUUUAAAACCCCCAUUUUUAUUUUCUAGCGUUGCAACACACUAGUCGUGGACAUGACUAUUACUACAACAAUAAUUCUGGUUACAAAAAAAGGUGAAAUUAGACAACCAGUCCCUAUAGAUUCAACCUUACUACUCUAUAUUUCAAUUUAUUGUUAUUUUGUCGUAGAAAUUUAUAGUUGGUGAUUUUGACACCCAUCAAAUUUUGGCGCCAUUGCUAGAGAUUGGUGAAAAUUUCUAAUUUUUGUUUGUUUUAUUUAUGACCAGUUCAAAAUUGGGGACUUUAGCACUUGAACUAGAGAUAGAAAAGUUGGCUCGAACACUUUGAAGAGAAGCUAUUCGGCGCGGUAAACAACCACAACCUGACUUUGAAGAAAGAUCUUACACCGAAGAUAUUUACUCAUCUGAAGAUUCAGACAAAAUAGCAAAUUAAACUAUACACCAACUUGCAGCUGUACCAGAUGAAUAACAACCGCUAUGCAUAACUUAUCCGGUAGGCGAAACACUAUUCGAGUUAAAGUCAGAAUUAAUACAUUUAUUGCCUACUUUCUGCGGUUUGAAAAACGAGAACCUCCAUACUCAUCUGAAAGAGUUCCACAUGGUUUGUCUGAGCAUGAAACUAGAAAAGGUAACUAAAGAUCAAAUAAAACUACGAGCUUUUCCCUUUUCAUUAGCCCACUCCACUAGAGAGUGGCUUUUUUUUAUUUACCUUAGGGAUCUGUUAAUACUUGGACUGAUAUUUCUUGAUUGUUUCUUGACAGGUUUUUCCCAGCAGCUCGAGCAGCUGAAUUAAGGAGGAGUAUAGUCGGAAUACAACAAAAAAAAGCAAAGUCACUCUAUGAAUAUUGGGAGCAAUACAAUAAGUUGUGGGCAAGUUGCCCACAACAUGGCUUGUCUAAACAGUCACUCUUACAGUAUUUUUAUAAGGGGUUACUCUCAAUGAGAAUGAAGAUGAUUGAUGUCGCUAGUGGAGAGACUCUUGUGAACAUGACUCCCCAAAGAGCUAGGGAAUUAAUUUCGACCAUGGCUGCAAAUUCUCAAUAGUAUCGACCACUUAUGGAACCUAUAAGAAGGGUUCAUAACCUAAGUACUCCUUCAAUAGUAAAUAAGAUUGAUGAACUUACUAAUGUGAUUAGAAGUAUGCUUGUAGGAAAAUCAAACCCAACUUGGUUAUGCGGGAUUUGCGCUCAGCCUGAUUAUCUAACUGACUCGUGCUCAGUUUUACUUGAAGACACAACUACACAAGUAAAUGUCGUUGGGAACUUCCCAGGGCCACCUCAAAGGCGUUCUGAUCCAUAUUUAAGCAUGUACAAUGCAGGGUGGAGGAAUCAUCCAAACCUGAGCUAUGGGUCGAACCUUCAAUACAAUCAAUAAUAUCAACCAAGACUACCCCCGUCUCAACAAUAUCAACCUCCAAAGUCAUCUCUUGAAGUUAUAGUAGAGAGGUUAGUCGUUGGCACUGAAAAGUUCCAACAAAAGGCUGAAGUACAUUUCUAAGAACUAGAUCAACAAAUAAGUAAGUUAGUACUUACGGUUAGUCAUUUGGAGAACCAAGGAAAAUUGCUAUCUCAAACCGAGCCAAACCCAUGUCAAAAUGCAAGUGUUGUGACCGUAAAAGAUGGGAAAGAGUCAAAACUAGUGCCUAGCACAAGUCGUGACCAUAACGUUGAACAGGAAGCCAAACCAACAACUUUCACUGAGUCAGCACUUCUUAAACCAUUUGUUGUACCUCACCCAUACCCUGGAAAGCCGCCCAAGUUAAAAUGGAAUGAGAGAAAAAAGAAAUCCUUGAGACAUUCUGAAAGGUAGAAAUUAAUAUUCCUUUACUUGAUGCAAUUAAACAGAUUCCACGUUAUGCAAAAUUUUUGAAAGAACUGUGUACCGACAAAAAGAAGUUGCAAGGAAAUGAAUGGAUGAAUAUGGGAGAAAAUGUUUCUGCGGUGUUACAAAGGAAAAUCCCGCCUAAGUUUAAGGACCAAUGCAUGUUUUCUAUAUCCUGCAAAAUAGGUAAUAUUAGCAUAAUGAAAGCCAUGUGUGAUUUGGGAGCAUCUAUUAAUGUAAUGCAUUUAUCUAUUUUUAAAUUACUAAACACGGGUCCUUUGAAAGAAAUAGGGGUGAUUAUUCAAUUGGCAGAUAGGUCAUGCAUAUAUCUAGAAGGGGUACUAGAAAAUGUCCUCGUAAAGGUAAAUGAACUAAUUUUUUCCUGCAGGCUUUUAUAUCAUCGAUAUGGAGGAUGACCACUCAAAAAAUGCUUCUGAUAUUUUACUUGGGAGACCAUUCCUAAGUACCGUGUGUACAAAUAUUGAUGUUCGAAGUGGAACCCUCACUAUGGAAUUCGACGGUGAGGUGGUAAAAUUUAAUAUUUAUGAGGCGAUGGGCCAACCCAAUACAAUGUCGAACAUUUCUAGUGUUGAUAUUAUUGAACCACUAACGAAAUUUUAUUUUGAGUAUCAUGAACGGGAUGGGUUACAAAUUGUACUUUGCAAGAGUUUAGACCUCGAUACGAUAGAUAAAUUAGAGGAGUUAAUGACGUUCAAAGAACUGAUUCGUGAAACCGUUAUUCUAUUGGAGACUCCACAAUUUCCUAGAAGUCAAGGUAAAUAUUUUAAACUUUCUCCUUCUAAAACUAAAUUCUUGCAUUCUGUUUUGCAGGCUUUGGAAUUGGAACUCAAACCGUUACUUGAACAUUUAAAUAUUCUGAUAAAGGAAAAGGCAAACCCAAACAGAGAAGCUCAAAUACGCCUUAAUCCACCAAUAAUGGAGGAAUUCCAAGUGCACAUAAUGAAAUAAUUAAUUCUUAAGAAACCAAACGAAUAACUCUCAAGUCGUCGAGCUAACGACGUUAAACAAAAAGGCUUUAUGGGAGGCAACCACAUUUAUUUUUAUUUAAUUUAAUUUUUAAUUUUAGUUUAGUUUAGUUUGAGAAUUAAAUAAAAUAUUAUUUUAAUCUGUUUGAUCGUGCUAUUUUCCAGGAGCAACCACCUUCAGCUGUAGACGAACGACUUCAUCGCAUUGAAGCUUGCCUCAAAAUAAUAAAAGCCAACAUCUCAAACAUCCUCACCGUUCUACAGAGUGAUCACUUCCAUCGCUCUCCGGCCCAUUAAAUAUAAACGGGGAUUACACUUUCUCCAUUCAUAUUAUUCUUUUUACACAUUGGGGGCAAUAUGGGCUAAGUAGGGGGAAUUUUGAAUCAUGAUAUACUUUUUUUUUGCAUGUGUUUUGUUAAGAAUAAAUUUUUUUAAUUUAUUUCAAAAAUAAAUAUCUAAUUCUUAUGUUCAGUUUACUUAAAUAAGUGGGUGAACCAUGAAUACUAUUGCUUGCUUGAUCAAUGAAUAUUUUGUAGAAUUGAAAAUGUUAUGCCUUAGUCGAUAUUUCAUGAAAAAUUAUUAAUUUUGUUGAACUUGCCUAAUGAAAGCACUCGUUUAAAUAAAUAAAUAAAUAGCUUGGUUAAGAGUGAAGAUUCAAAAAUGCGACCAAGUUGAGUAACUGGGAUGAGGUGCUUGGGUUGUCAUCUCAUUUCACGUUAAAAGGUUUGGUAACGAGCCGAAGCUUGUAACACUCUACUAAUCAAGUUGCCUUGAGAAAAAAAGCGAUUAGGGGCAUGUGAAACUGAGUAACCAGGAUAAGGAGUUUGAGUUGUCAUCUCAUUUUGCGUCAAAAGGUUUUAUUAUGUCUUGAAUUCGUUAAAAAAUUAAAUAAAGAGAACGUGUUAGGUUGAGUAACCGGGGUGAGGUGUUUGGGUUGUCAUCUCACUUCGCGUCAAAAGACUUGAUUACGUUUGAAAAAAAAAAUGUAUAUAGAUAUAAAUAAAAACAUAUAUUGAGUAUGACUAUUUUGCAUGUUUGAUUGAGCCUAAAUUUAGUGAAAUAGUUGAGUUUGACAUACUAUUUGAGAUUUUAUAAAAUGCUUAUUGAUUGAGUUUGUAACACCCCAAACCUGGCCUAGACGUUAUGGCCGGAUCUAGCGAUGUCACAUGAUAGGGUGUUUGAAAACUGUGCCGUCGCGUUAAAACCAUUCCUAUUGAAUUCCUUAUCUUAAUAUCUUACUAGUUCCAAAAUUGUGUUGCUCAUUUAAUCGAUAGUUUCAAAACGUUAUUCGUUUGCGGAAACUUUUAAAUCAGAUUAAGCAAUCGUGCGUUUAGGAAAAACAUUUGUUUCUUUUAAAAAUAGAAGUUUCCUACUACUAGCAGUUGUAAUCCAUAAGGUAAAGAUAAUUAAAACGCAAAACCAAAGUCCGAAAGUCCAAUUACAACCCAAAAACUUAGCCAGUAAAAAUAAAAUAGAAAUAAAACUAAUUAUCGAAAAUAUGAGUUAAAAACCAUGAAAGUCCAAAACCGUGGUCACCACUGAGUCCUCCGUCGCACCGAUCCAUCUAGAUCUGGGGAUUACCUAUGCACAUUUAAACAAAAGAUGUGAGUUUAUGAAAACUCAGUGUGUAAUCCCACAGAAAACAAACAAUAGCAAAUCACAGUGCAUAGUUAAUGCAGUCCUGGACCUAAGCCCUUUUUCAGUAUCAGUAACAGUUUGGGCCUUAGCCCAUCUCAGUACAGUAUCAAAUAUGCAGUAGGGCCUUAGCCCAUUACAGUAUCAGUAGCAGUCAUGCAGUAUUCAGUAACAAAGUCCUACCCAACCAGCCUCUACACACCAUCUCCGUCCAACCCUACACUCCAUGUGGGGAUCAAAUCAACCCACCCAUCCCUACACUUCAAGUAGUACCGAAUGCGGCACAAAACAGUAAUUUCCAGCUGAGCUGCCAGUGUCUUAGGCUUAAGAGUCUUUCAGUACACUUCCUCCAAAUAUAAUCAACACAACCUCAUGCAAUGCAACAUACAAGUCAUGACAUGCUAUCUCAGGACAUCAGUACAUAUAACCAAUUCAGUAUACAAGCAUACUAUCAUCAUGCUUAACACAUAUAUAAAUCAAACAAUCAGUUAAUAUAAUUAAAGGUCUAAGUGAUGCUUACUGACCCUACAGUAGGUUCACAGUCGACUUGGGCGACCAGUGCAACCUUAGCAAUCAAUUCAGUGAUAAUUGGCUCACAUGCCCAUGUGGUCUGCCCGUGUAGGCCCACACGCUCGUGUGGCCCACUCGGCCAAAAUUGGCCUUGGCCGCGUGGUCCAUUUUUAAUAUAACCCGUGCUAGCUAAAUAUUUAUAUAUAUUUCACUAUUUACUUAUAUGUUCCUUCAAAGCUAUCUACCUGAGUCACUGUUACUAAAUUAUUUAUAUUUUGAGCUACAGAAUUUCAAAUUAAGGUCUUCUUGAUGUCUUUGAAACUAGACUCAAAUACUUUCAUACCAUAAAAUUUUUAGAAUUUUUGGUUUAGCCAAUAAGUACAGUAAAAUCUUCAAUCUUACCCUUGUUCUGCUGUCUGAUAGCUUCGACCUUUCUUUGCUAAAAAUUAAUUAUCUCUUAGUAAAAGAUUUGGAUGAUGUUACCAUUUGUUUCUAUUGAAAAUAGACUCAUUAAUAAUUUAAACAUGUAAAUUUUAACCCUUAAUUAUUUUUAUCCAAUUUUUGAUGAUUUUCUAAAGUCAGAACAGGGGAACCAUAAUUCAUUCUGUUCUUAUCUCACAAAACUUAUUAUAUCUCAUGAUUUACAAUUCUAUUACUUACACAAUUUCUUCUAUAAGAAACUAGACUCAAUAAGAUUUAAUUACAUAUUUUUUUCAUCCUCUAAUUCAAUUUCCACAAUUUAUGGUGAUUUUUCAAAGUUAGCCUACUGCUGCUGUCCAAACAGCAAACAAUUUUAGUUUUUCGCCGAAUCCCAUUUUCUGCAUUUCGGGUACACACCUGGUUUUGUUUGAUGCUAAAACAGUCCCCGAGCACUACAAAACCUAUAAUUGAAAAAAUAACACUAAUUUAAUCUCACAUAACAUGAUCCCAAAUUGAACUCGUAUCGAGAUUUUAACCCAUAAGCAACUAAACCUUACCUUCAACCGAUGAACAGUAAUUCCCACACAAAAUAAGACUUUGAUUGGUGAUUACAAGCCUUUGAAUCCUCCCCUAAUUGGCAUAAAUAAAACACUUUAGAAGAAAUUUAACAAACAAAGAAAAAUCACUUAUCUAAAACUUACGGAAUGAUCGUAGAAAAACAUGGAGUGACAUGAGGCAGAGUGGGAAAAGAAAAAUCAAGAAGAUGAAGGGUGAUAGAGAGCAGAAAUUUGGCAACAAUGAAGACAAAAACGGCCAGAGGGUGGAGGGAUUUUGGGGAAAGUAAAAAAAAAGUGAAAAAAAAAGAUAAACAAAAUAUUUGAUAACCACCCCAAUCCCUUAUUUCUCUCCAUCAAACUCCCUAGUAAAUCUAUUACUCUUCUGGACGCACGAGCAAAAAUAAUGUCCAUGCCAAGAUUCAAACAUAGGACCUCCUUCACACCAACACUCCACUUAUCCACCAAACCAAGAGGCUUUCCCUGUUUAUUAUUUGCCAACUUUUACUUAAAAGCCUACUGACUAAAGAUAGAGAUUAUUCAUAAAAAUACCAAAAUUUGCCCAAGUCCUAGCUUGAACUUGAGACCUCCCAAAUACACCAAGAACACAUAGCCACUAAAGCAGACAAAUAUUUUGUCACACAUUCACAAUACCCAAAAAUAAAAUUUUGGGGCAUUAGAAUGUUUAGCAAUUGUUUAUUUUUGAUUCACCUAAUUGUUUGAUGUGUGCUUGAUAGAGGUGCACAUGGGCCGGGCGGCCCGGCCCGGCCUGACGUCGGCCCACCCAAAAUAUGGGAGGGUUCGGGUAAAAAUAUAGACCCGAAAUAUGGGUUUGGGUAAGAAAUUAGGCCCGUUUUAAAAACGGGCCGAGCCUCGGGUAAAAUUUUUUUAGCCCGGGCCCGGCCCGGCCCGGCCCGGCCCGGCCUGAAUUUAAUUAAUAUAAUUUUUUUAUUUUGUCAUUAAUACAUUUCCCAUUUCCCUUUCCUUUUCCAUUUCCCCCCGUCCCCAGUUAAAUCCCUAACCCCUUCCCUCCCUUUUUUUCCCCCAAAUCGGAUCCAACUCCACCUCCACCGAUUCACGACUCCACGGUGCUUCACUGCUUCUAGCCUUCUUCGUCUUCUCAAAGGUGAGUUUGCUGUUAACCUUUGAAUUUGUUUUUUGCUUUGUGCUUUUUUAUUUUCAUUUUUAUUCGAAUCAGUUCCCUCACUUGCUUGUGACCGUAGAUGUAUAAUUUCAUUUGAUGUAUCCGUUCUUUUCUUGCUUGUGACCUGUUGAGAGAUUGUGUUGCUUAAAUCUCCCUUGCAAAUUUUAAUACUGUUUACAUUGUGCAAAUUUCCAUCUGUUCUGCUGGCACCUAGAUGAUUAAAAAUGGGACUCUGUUUUAACGUCCUGGUUUUGUGAACAGCCUAGACAUAGGUUGGGCUAAAAAUAGAAAUCAGCUGUUUCUUUGGGUUAUUGACUCUAGUACCUCCCUCAUUUGUGUUGUUCGUUCUAGUUAUUUGUUGGAUAUGUCCUGUUUAGAUGAGUUACAAUUCAGAGAAGUUAGGUUAUCUAAAUUUUAGUUCUGACAAAAUUCUUUUAUUUUUCUUUCAGCUCAUGGUGACAAUUUUGCUGUGAAAAGAAUGAGAAAGCUGACCCAAAGGAGAGCUGUUGAUUAUACUAGUACUGUUGUGCGAUAUAUGCAGGUAUUUUUUUCAUGUUUAGUUGUUUUCAUAAGCGUUUUUUUUUCUAUAUCUUUCUAUAAGUUGUUGCAUGGUCUUGGUGAAUCUGAUUAACAUGGAUGCUUAUGUUUGUUCUUAGAUGGCUUAAAUGUCUCUUCAUUAUUGUGGUUAUUGGCCUUCUCUUUGUCAAUAUGGGCAUUGAUUAUUCAAUGUACUUGGCUGCUGUGUUUUAAAGUUUAUAAAGCUCUGUAGCACUAUUAUAGCCAUAAUUGUAUCUUUAUAAUAGCUUAACUUAUGGAGUUGUGUUUCAGAAUGCUACUGGAAAAUCCAUUAAUAUAGAGGCAAAAUGACUUGGUCUUGCUUGCCAUUGAUGUAUCGUGUUAAGAUGUUCUUUUUUUGCUUCAUGGAAAAAUAUUAAGUUGAUGUCUUUUUAUAUCAUAUUUUUCCUAGUUGCUAAGAGUAGCUCCUCUUUAUCAUAGUUUGGACCAGUGCCAAUUGACUUUGUGUUCAUCACUAUUUAGUUAUUGCCUACUUUAUCUUAGCUAAUUCAGGUAUUGCCUACUUUAUCUUGGCUUAAGACUGAAUUACGUUUGCCUAAGCCUUGGAUUACUAUGAAGACUCAAGCAACUGGUCAUAAAAUCAAUGUUCUUUUUCUUUUAUGCAAGGUUUGCCAGAAUUGUUUGUAAUUACUUGUGCAUUAUAAUCAUUUUUUAUUUUUAAGAUUUGAUUGUUUGUAAUUAAAUUCAAAUUAAUUGUUUGUAAUUACUUGUAUAUUAUAAUCAUUUUUUAUUUUUAAGAUUUGAUUGUUUGUAAUUAAAUUCAAAUAAGUAAUCUUUUUUUAUUUUUUUGUUCAUUAUAUACAAAAAAAAUUACAAUUUGAUAUUUGAUAUAAAUUCAAUAACAAUUAAUUUUAAUAACAAUUAGUUUUAACUUUUAAGUAAAAAAAAGCAAAAAAAAAACGGGCCGGGCCGGGCCCGGGCUUCAUAUUUUUUUCACAGGUUGGGCCUGGACAAUAUAUCAGUCCCAUAUUUCGGGCCAGGCCGGGCCCGGGCCUAGUAAAUGGGCAAAAUUUUUUAUGGGCCCGGCCCGAACCCAGCUCGGCCCGGCCCAUGAGCACCUCUAGUGCUUGACUAGGAAAGGGGGUUUUGAUUUUGAAAGGGAUUGACAAAUUAUUUUCAGUGGAUAUCAUGCUUGAGGACAAGCAUCGGUUAAGUAGGGGGAAUUUGAUAGCAAGAUAAAUUCGUAUUUUUAAUAUAUUUAUUUUUGGCUAAUUGUCAAAUAAAACGCUAUUAAAUUUAGAUUUUUCUUAUCAGGAAUGAAGUUGGUGUGUUGAAUUCAAACUCUUACAAAAAAAAUGCUAAAUUGGAACAAAAAGCAAAGAGGAGGGCUUGAUUGAAAGAUUGAAGAUCCAAAUAUGAUUGGAUAAAGAUUGAAGGGUUGAAGAUUUUUUUUAAGUGGCUGGAUAAAGAUUGAAAGAUUUUUUUGGUAUUGUUAUAACUCUGUAAUUAGUUUAAAUUCUAGUUUAAAUUUGAUUUUUAAUUUUUGAAUUAUUUAGCUAUAAUAUUUAGUGAUAAUAUUUAGGAAAAAUCUAGCUAAAUUUUAGCACUAAAAGUGUGUAUAAAUACCUAAUGACUACAACCAAUUGAACACACUUUGCUUUGGUAUUUAAUAAAUUCUCUAUUUUUUUCCUCUCCUGCGUCUUUGCUAUUCAAUUUUGCAGUUUCAAUUUUUUUUUCUUUUGAUUUCAACCUUUUGGUUUAAUUGCCUUCUAAAGCCUUGCCCCUUUCUACUUUUCAAAAUUCCACUUAAACCAUUUAUUUUCAAGCAUGAUUUUUUCCAUGAUUAACUAAACCCUUUUUAGCUUUAGCCCAGAAAUUGCUCCAACAAAACAAUCGUGAGAUACGAACCCGCUCAAAAAAAUCUCUCAAUUCAGUUUUCGCUAUCUCUCUAGUAUAUGGGAUAGUAAAAAUUCGUCCCUCAAAGUUGAUUCAAUUUCAACUCAAAAAACGCGCGUUGGGUUGGAAUUGUUUGGCGUACAGACGGGAAGUUGAGUCGGUGGUGUUGUAUUCAAAAUCCCGCAAACAAAUUGGUGUGUUCAAUUGGAAAAAGCUAGUUGAAUUUUGUCAAUGGAGAUAAUGAUCGGAUUUAAAACCCACACGGUUGAGGCCGUUAAUUCGAGUUGGGCUUUUCAGAUCGCAAGGCUGUCGAAGUCUUAAAUUACAGGUACGUGCCAUGUUGUUGGAAAUUUGACAAGGGUCGAUUUGCAUGUGAUAACUGGAUCGACUACGAAAGGAAAAGUUGGUGGUUUGAGGAAUCCUCGAUUGCUAUAACCAGUUUAUCGCUUGGAAAGGAAAUUUUGUUUCAAUGAUUGAUUCAAGAUUGGAGUACACUGAGGUUAAGGCUAAUCUUAAAAAAUAUUUUAUUUAUCCAUUUAUUUUAUUUUAUUUUCUUAAAUUUAUUUUUGUAUUUUUGAAUAUAUUUUUGAAUAUAUUUUUAUUUUAUUUUUUGUAUUUCCUUAUUUUAUUAUCUUAAUCAAUUUAAAAUCCUUAUUUUUAUUUUCCAUCGUUGGAACGCACUAGUCGUGGACACGUCCACGACUAUUACCAUGACAACAAUUUUGGUCACGAGAAAAGAUGAAAUUAGACAACCAGUUCUUGUGGAUUCGACCCUACUACUCAAUAUUUUAAUUUAUUAUUAUUUUAUCGUAAGAAUUUAUAUUUGGUGAUUUCGACGGCCAUCUAUAUAUAUUAAUAAUUAUAAAAGAAAAAAAUUUAACAAUGACAUACUUAAAUGUACAAUACAUUCAAGCUUGAACAUGUAGUUGAGUUACCUGACAAAAAUAAUAACGUGUACGUAUCAAUGAGUUUAGAUUUUCCAUUCAAUUAAACUAGUACAAUUUUCACGCCUCAUAUAGGGUUGAUAGUUUAUUUGUGUUAAAUUAUGAUGUCUAAAUUUGAAAGCUAAAAUAUACUUUAAUCUUACUUUUAUCUUCAGAAAUUUAAAUUCUUUACCUUUUAGAUUUAAAAAAAUUAGGUCCAAAUGUUACCAUUGUUAUAAUUUUUCUAUUAAAUUCACUAAUCUAAUAUUUUGAAAUUAAAAAAAAAUCACUUGGUAGUCGUGUAAUAAUAUAAAAGUGUAACCGUUAAACUCCUUAUUAGAACCCAAAAAUCAAAAUUUAGUCCAUGUUAACAAUGAAGUUGGGAGUUCAAUUCUUAUCCACGAGAAUGAAGUACAUUUCAUUACCUGUUAUUUACUUCAUUGAAAAAACCCUAUAACAAGAAGAUUAAUCAUUGCUACAGACAAUAAAUACCUUAAUUUCAAUAAAAAAAAUCCAUAUUAUGAUAUUGUUGACUUGUUGUAUUUAAUGCACCAUUAGGGUCAAGCCGUAGUAGUUGGGUCGGGUAUAGAAGAAAGGCCACGGAGACCAAGCCACCACUGCCGAUUCCCCCAUUGCCUUUACUCACAUAGUCACACUCAAACACUAAAUUAUGGAUUGACCUUGAAGCCUUCAUGGAAGGGGCCAAGUCUAUGGCACUUUGAUGACAAUGGUUUUUUUGUAAUGGAGUUCACAAGCCAUUGAAAAUGAAAGGGGUUGGGUUGGGUUGUGUUUUUCUUAACGGCAUUAAAUUUAUUAGCUUCAUUCACACCAAACUCUUAGAGUGCGUUUGGUUCGCUGUAUUGGAUUAGAGAUGUAUUGGAUUAGAAGUGUAUUGGAUUAGAGGUGUAUUGGAUUAGAGGUGUAAUAGCAAAUCAACUGUUUGGUUGAAUGUAAUGGAAUAGAUGCGUAAUAGUAAUCUUGUGUUUGGUUGAAUGGAAUAGAGGUGUAAUAGCAUAGUGGAAAAAACUAAAAUGACUAGAAUACCCUUAGCAUAAAUUUAUUUUGGUAAAUGAUUAUUGUUAUUGUUAUUUAAAUUUUAAUAAGAUUAUUAUUAUCAAUAAUAAAUAUUUUAAUCAUAUUUAAACAUAAUUAUUAUUAAACAUAUUUUAAUUAAAAUAUAUAAUUUAAUAAAAUUCUUAAUAAUUACCAGAAAUUUGUUUUGGUAAAUUAUUAUUGUUAUUGUUAUUUAAAUUUUGAUAAGAUUAUUAAUAUGAAUAAUAAAUAAUUUAAUCAUAUUUAAACAUAAUUAUUAUUAAAUAUAUUAUACUUAAAAUAUAUAAUUUAAUAAAAUUCUUAAUAAUUAAUAUUCUUAUAUGAAUUUACUUUGAAUUUUGAUAAGAUUAUUAAUAUAGAUUUUUUUUAAAAUUUAAAAUUUUAAAUUAAUAAAAAUAAAAUUGUACUUUGAUUUCCCUAAAAUUAUAAAUUUUUUAUUCAAUCCUUUUAAAAAUUAUAAAGAUAUAAACUAUUAAAAAUUAAAUUUUCAUUUGGCCCCCUAAAAAAAUAUUACCUUAUUUUUUUUUAAAUUAAAUCGAUGAAAAGAAAUUCAUAGGUGCAUUUUCAUAUAAAUAAUUGAAUUAUUCAAAAUUACAUGCAUUUAGAGAUAAAUAUUUUACCCAGCACUACGCUUGUUCGACUCGUAAAAGGCAAAAAUUAGGAUUCAAAAUUAAAUUAUAAUUUUUAUGAUAAUAAAAAUUACUUAGGACAUCAUGUUCUCAAAAACUCAAACCUUUAUCAACAUAGAAUUGAAUCGAAUAUCGUUUUCAUCUUCCCAAGUUUCUAUACAUAAACUAUGAACACGGAAUUAAACAAUACAAAAAUGGUAUUCUUCUUCCAUUGACAUUUGAUAUCAGCUUCAGAAAAGGCAAAAGACAAGAAUAAAGAGAUAAAACAAAAGAUUAAAUCAAUCCUAUAUCCUUGACUGACAUAAUUUACCUUAAAAACUCUAUACUUUAACCAAUCCCACCUAUAUGAUUUUUCUGUUUUCCUAUACAUAACUUAAAGCUUACUUGGAACCAAGUCAUUGUAUUGUAUUUCAUGUAAUUUUUUGAAGCAGAUCCUCAUCUCCUCCAUCUGCAUUGAAGGAAUAGAUGUCGACCGGGGCCACCGUGCAACCCAUGGCAUUCUGCUUGGUUCUUUUAUUACAAAAGGAGCCUCGGUGUUUGUCUAGAUAGAUUAUAAUCACGGUGAUAUCGUCGUGAAAAUGGCGCAUUAUCCCCUUUUUUAUUUUCUUGAUGUCACUGUAUCUCAUCUCCCUUUUCUUUGCAACUUCUUGAAGUGCAGCUCUUACCAAUCUCCUGGCAAUACCCUGCAAGCAUUCAAGCAAACAAAUAUCAAUAAUGAAAUGCAUUGCAUUUCCAUAGGUUUCAUUAGGUUAAUGGAAGAACACGAAUACUCACGGCUCUCGGGUUUUUGAAAACGAUGUUUACAGCAGCUUCAUCACUCAACUGCUCCCAUAGGCCGUCUGAUGCAAAGAUGAGGAAUUGAUCCUGUGGCUUAAGCUUUCUAAUAAGGAUCGAGGGUUCUGCUGUAAUAACCGGCCUUUUAAGAGGAACAGGGUUUCCGAACUGCUGGAAGAUCGGAUCUCUAUAAAAAUCAGGUUUCUUCAGGUAAACAUCACCUAUAGAUCUUGACACCUGAAAUAAGAAAAACAAAAAUGGCUUAGACCAGCAUGAUCACUCACAUGCUCAAAGAUCAUGUAUUAAUCAAUCAUCUCCAGUUCUACAAUCCAAUGUAAGAUAAAAGCUAAUGCAUCUUAUUCUCUCGAUUCGUGAAUGGAUCGAAGUAAAAAGCUCAACUUGCCUACCAAAGUACAGGGGAACAUCACCACAAAAAGAGAAGAAAAACAUAAAAACGAGAGAGCAUCGAUUCCUUGUAGUUACAUAAGCCUAGCUUUAUGCUUCAGGGGCCUGCAUUUGUCCAUCUCAUGCAUAUAAGGCAUACUAUAUGGAAAAUAGCAGCAUGAAACAGUACUGGAAAUCAGACCAAAAUAUUCUUGGAAAAGUCGAAAAACUCAGAAUUAUAACCAUUUUUUAGAAUGAACUUCCAUUCUAAUGCACAAUGUAUACAUCCAUAAUUAUACCUCUCCAUCAAGCAAAAAGAAACAAAAUGGUUGCAAGCAAUGCCUACGAAGAGGAAGUUAAUUGGCAACUAAUUCUAGAAUCAACAUAUUGAUCAUUUCUCAAGCAGACUAGUUUUGAACUAAACGAUUAUAAAUCAACUUGUCAAUAAAAUUGUACCUGGAUUAUGCCCUUAAUCCUCCAAACUCCGCGGGUGUAAACGACUAUAUGUGAGUCAUCUGGAUGAAGUUCCUCGACCUCCUUUCGAACUUCCUCGACUCCAACAUUAUGAUCAGUUGACAACCUCUCUGCCACUACUGUGUUUUCCUUAUCCCCCGAAGCUUUCCUGCCAAGAACAGCUCUCGAGUCACCGAGAUUUGCCACGUAUAACACAUCAAUCGAAAUUGCACCAACUAGACAGCAUGAUCCAACCGAAGCAAUUUGAGGCCUCACGGACAAUGAUCGCUUCACCAAACGCAAAAACUCCUCUUCAGUGGCAUUGAAUGCCUUCUUUAUCACAUCUGCAGAUAAUCCCCCUUGUUCUGUAGCAAAUUCUACAAUGAAUAAAGAAAAAAAAUUUAAGGGUCUCCAUCAAUCUUUUUUAGAAUCCAAGUGCAUGCUUAUCACUGAAAAGUGUGCAAAACAAAGAAAAAUAAAUGACCUGAAAAAUGCCAAAACUUGAACUACACUUACUAAUUAUUCCGAAAAAUUCAAGUCCAGACAACCCCAAGUAGAUACAAAUUUAGACAAAUAGUUCAUAUUCUCUUUUCCCAUCAAAACAUAGUGCUACAUGACUGUGGAGCGGGGCAAGAUAGAUAUUGUCAAAUUCAUUACUGUUCCAUUGCUGGCAUGAUCUGCCUCGACCCCACUCUGCUUCGCCAUAAAUGUUAAAACUUGAAUAUCAUUACUUUUAAUAUGCAUAAUCUAUCAAUACCUCACCUAAUAUAUACAUUUUUACUCGUUUUAAAAGUUAAAAAUAUAAGAAUAGAGCAAAUAUCAAAAUUAAGUGCCCCAUUGGUCCCUCUUUUACUGUUAAAAAUUAGAAAAAGAAAGUCUAUUUGGAGUCAUCAGUUCGAAAUCUAUCAUACUAAAUACAUAUUUGAUGAUUCCAUAGACAACUUAUGAUUUUCCUGACAAGGUCAUAUCUAUAUACAUACAUGAUCACAUGUUCAUUCAUGUCAUACAUACAUACAUACAGAAUAGAAUAGAAUGGGAAAAAAGGAAUGUUGAAAUAAAGAGGGAAAAAGGGAAUUACUGUGGAGAAAAGGGAAGAGAUGUUUGUUAACAAAAUGGGAAGCUUCCGGACCGCCAUGACCAUCGUAGACGCCAACGUAGGUAGCAAAAGGAGAGGUGAAGACUUGGCUUUGAUCUUCGAGAUAGUUGUUAGCCUGCACAACGGCGAUGGAGAAAUCACCGGAAGCGUGGGGUUUAAGGUCAGCGUGCCACAUGAGAGCAUCCCCACCAGCUCUAACGCCAAGACAACGUUCGAGCGGCCUGGAAAGGGACCGUAACAUCAUCAUCAUCGUGUUUAAAAAAUAAUAAUAAUCCCUUUAUAGGGGAUUUGAUUAAAUGAAAACCUUUUCAAUGGUUUCAAUGGGGGGUUUCACUUUGGGGGAGAGGAAAAUGGAAAGAUAUUUUGUGUUUGGUAAGAGGGAAAACGAAAGAAAACAAAGGAAAAGGCGAGAAAAUAAACUGGGACCAAAUUGGCAGAAAAGAAAAGCAAUGAAACAAGGAAGCAAAUCGGAUGAAGGUGGAAAACAGAAGAGAAACAAAGGGGAUCGGGGGAGGGUAAAAAAGGGAGGGUUUGCUGAAGCGUCACCUAAUCUGGGCAGAAGGGGGGGAAUAGAAAUCGGUGCUUUUCACCGAUUAGGAAAGUAACGGAAUACACGCGUAUUAGCAAUACGCUGAACCAAACGGCGGAUUAGAGAGGUAUUAGGUGGGGCCCACCGAUUAGAGGUGUAUUGGCAUAGCCAAUACACUGAACCAAACAAGCUGUUAGUUUACAAUUUGAAAUAGACUUGUACAUGGGUCAGGCUACUUACCUAGGCUCAAAGGCCUACUCAAUAUUUAAGAGAGUUUCAACAAAUAUGUUAGGCUCGAAAAAUGAAUUUGAAUAAAAAAAUUAGGCCUAUUUAAAAUAUGAGUUUAAUUCAAACUUGAACAUUCAAGACCUGAAUCCGACUCGACCCAUGAGUACCUGGGAAUAUGAAGAUUUUGAUUUUUACUCUGAAUUGUUCAAAUAUAUUUUGUUGAUAGGUUUAAUAGUGCCCCUGGUCAUUUUACUUUUUGAGCUUUUAAAAUUUAGUCUUUUUUUUACUUUUAAUUGCAAAAUUUCAGUCUCUCGACUUGUAUAAAUUAAAAUCUAAUUCAUAACACUGGAAAUGAACUUCCCUUAAAAUUGAAUGUGUAACAAUUUAAUAUUAGAAAGUUUGAUUUAAGAAUUAAAAUUAUAACACCCCAAAAAAAGAAUGAAUUAAAGUUUUAAUUGAUAAAAUAUAUACAAAAUUUCACAAAAAGUUAAUCAAUACUGUAAUUUUUAAAUUAAGGAAAUAAAAGGACUAAAUUUCAAAAGUAUGAAGAAUACAUACCCGUAGCAUAAUUAUACCUUUAUUGAUACAACAUAUCACAACUAUAUAUUAACAUGUAAAAUACACGGAAUUAUGAAAGCGAUGUGGCUGGCUUGGGUUUUCCAACGGCGUUGAAUUUAUUGGCUUCAGUCUGCAUUCAGCUCAAAGCUCUUAGUUGGCAAGUAGAACUUUCUAUGAAUCACACUUUGAUUUUAUCUGUGAGCUGUAAUAAUUAUUAAAAUAUAUAUUUGACAUCGUUUUAGAUUUACUUAUAGGUGUUCUUUUUUUACUGUAUUUAAAGAGUUAACUAUCACUUUUUUAUUGUCAAUUGAGUUUUAUCUUGAUUGAUAUAGGUAUUGUUGUUAAUGCAGGAAAUCGUGGAUUCGAGUGCGCAGAAGCGCAUUAUCCUCCUAUUUAUGAGUUGGAGAUGAGCUAUGGGUAGUUAUAAACAUUGUGUCAAAAAAAGCAGAUAUGAUUAUAAGAUUAUUAUAUAAAAAAAACUAUCAACAAGCGUAAAAUUAUCGGAAACUCAUUCUUUUUUUUUUGGUACAAAAAGAAGGAAACAAGAAAACUAAAUUCGAAUUAUCCUCUCUCCACAAGCAUCGCUGUAAAAAGGGUUCAAGGCUCGCCGACGGCGACUCAAGAUGAACCAGACCUCUCUCAAAGUUCUGAGCUAAAUUUGUCAAGUGGUCUAUGCAACUAUUUCCUUCACGAUGAAUGUGUCAAACCUCAGUCACCCAUCCUUCAUUUAUCGAGUUAAAGCAAUCUUUAUCCAAAGUACCUAGCAGAUGAUUAUUCUCAAAAUGUUGUCGGAGGAAUUGUACCACUAGUAGCACAUCUAACUCCACCACGACCUGACGAAUUCCCAAGGAUUUUGCAAGACAAAAAUCGGCUCAAACCCCCAUAACUCUACCUGUAUAGGCUGUUUGUUAUCCCUAUAUUCACCAUAAAUCCUCCAAUCCAAUGAGCCUCGCUAUCUCUGAUAAGACCUUCGAUUGAAGCUAAGCAUGAGCGAGAUUUUACAGUUCCAUCUGAGUUGAGUAUGUAACUUCCUUAAGGUGGUUUUGUCCAUUUAAUCCAAAAUGGUCUUCGAACUAACCUUGGCAUAACAACACUCAUGGCAACAAAGAUGUAUGUAGCAAACUUCUAAGCAUAUUGACACUCGCAAACCUAUUGACCAUCUCUUAUUCUCCUUUUGCAGCCAGAUUUGAUAACGGGUUACGUCACUACACCAAAACAGGCUUUUAGCGGCAUUUUUAGUGGCGUUUGGAUAAAAAACGCCGCUAAAAAUUGAGCAUUAAUGGCGCUUUAAAUAAAACGCCGCUAAAGAUCGAUCUUUCGGGGCUUUAGCGGCGUUUUUAUAAAAGCGCCGCUAAUGCUCUGGUCUUUAGCGGCGUUUUUGGAGAAGCGCCGCUAAUGCUCUGGUCUUUAGUGGCGUUUCUAGAAAAGUGCCGCUAAAGCUCAGGUCUUUAGCGGCGUUUUUGAAAAAGCGCCGCUAAUGCUCUGUUCUUUAGCGGCGUUUUUGGAAAAGCGCCGCAAAAACAUUUUAUUUGUCUAAUUACUAUUUAAUUUGUUUAUUUAUAUUAAUUAAAAUUCUAUUUAUUUUUAAUUGAAUAUUUGUUAAAAAUGGAUAAAUUUGAAAUAAUGACACUUAGAAAUAAUUUGAAAUAAAAAAAUAGAAAAAUAUUUGUUAAAAAUGGAAAAUUUAAAAUACUAUUAUUUUAAAAUAAUUUUAAAGUUUUUGGGUACAUUACUGAGUGUUUUUUAUUUACAUAUUAAAUAAUUUCUUAUAUUAUCGUAAGAUAUAGUAUUAAUUUUAAAAAAUUGAAUUAAUUAUCUCUAUAGUUUAAGGUUUUUGGUUUAGGGUAUAUGAUUUAGAGUUUAAGGUUUAGGAGUUACUAUUUUAAGGUUUAUGGAUUAUGAGUUUAGGGGUUAUAGUUUACAGUUUAUGGUUUAAGAUAUAGGGUUUAAGAGUUGCGGUUUAUGGUUUAAGGUUAUAGAUUAAGGGUUGGGGUUUAAGGUUUAGGGGUUGAGAGUUAAGAGUUAGGGGUUUAGGAUUUAGGGUUUAGAUUAAUUAGUUUUUUAAAUUUAUAUAUUAAAUAAUUUCUUAUAUAAUUGUAAAAGAGAUAAUAUUAAAUUGAUAUAUUAAAAUUAUGAUUAUAGUUUAAAUUCUUUAUAAAUAAUUUAUAUAUUAAAUAAUUUAAUAUAUUAAAAUAAUGAUUAUAGUGUUCUUGGUACAUGAUUGAUUAUUUUUUAAUUUAUAUAAUCGUAAAAGAGAUAGUAUUAAUUUUAAAAUAUUAAAUUAAUUAUGAUUAUAGUUUAGGGUAUAUGGUGUAGGGUUUAAAGUUUAAGAGUUAUUAUUUUAAGGUUUAUGGAUUAUGGGUUUAAGAAUUACGGUUUAUGGUUUAUUGUUUAAGGGUUGGGAUUUAAAGUUUAGGGGUUAGGGAUUUAGGGUUUUAGAGUUAUAUUUUGUGAUUUAUGAUUAUAGUUUAAAUUAUUUAAGAGAUUUGUUAAAUGGUUUAGGAUUUAAGGUUUAUUUGAGAUUUGUUAAAUGAUGAAAUUUUAUACAAUCAAUUAAUGCUUUUAUAUUUAAAAAUUUUUAAUCUAAACCAUUUGAUAUAUUUAAAUAUUAGAUUUAAAAAAAUUAAUAAAUAAAUAAAAUCACUUAACUAAUAAUUUUUAACAAAUAAAAUAAAAAAAUUUUAACAAAUAAAUAAAUAAAAUCACUAAAAAUAAGCAUUAGCGGCGCUUUUCGGAAAACGCCGCUAAAAAUGAGCAUUAGUGGCGUUUUUAGAAAAGCGCCGCAAAAAAACUAGGCCCAACGACGUCGUUUUAUUGAGUUUUUGAGGCUUUAGCGGCGUUUUUGAAAAAGAGCCACAAAUGCUCUAUUUUUAGUGGCGUUUUUAAAAAAGCGCCACAAAUACUAAUAUUUAUUCUAAACCAUGAUAUAUAAGCAAUAACGGCGUUUUUUUUUAAAACGCCACAAAAUUUAUAUUGCUUAACAAAAAUUGGCGCUGCUUUUUUCCCCAAAUUUCCCCCUAAAACCCAAAAACUAAAAAAUCCCAAAUUCGCGCUAAUUUGUUCACAAAAUCCCAAUCGAAAAAAAUUGGAGGAGCAGAACGACGCGCUGCGAUUCCUUCCUCUGCGAUUCGAUUGUUAGCUUCUCCCACUCUAUUUUCACAGCGGAUGCACUGUUCUCAGCUCGUUAAAUCUAAUGGAAAGCGAUUGUUUCUCAUCGACACUUUAGCUUUGGUAAAUUACAAUGAUUCCUUCUUUUGUUUUAGAAACUGUACUUUUGUUUGAUUUUUGGAAUCUUGAAAAUAUCUGAAGACAUGGUGCUUAUACUUAUAGGUUAGGAGAUCAGAGGCGGAAGGUCUGCCUUCGAAGCAAGCCGAGGCAAUAACAGCAGCCAUGACUGAAAUUUUGAAUGACAGCUUAAAAAAUGUGUCUUUUUCAGUUGUUUCCAAUACUACUUGCUCAAUUCCUUCCCUUCCAUUUCAAUGAAAAAGAAUUCAACCAUGGUUUACCAUUCUAUUUAUUUAGAAAAAAAAAAGACAGAGGAAAUCAGGUAUAUUUAAUUGUUUAAUUUCGGUUACAAACUUUAUCUGUUUUUUAUAUGUUUAUCUCACAAAUUUUCUUUUAUCUGCUUUUUACAUGUUUAUCUCACAAAGUUCGGUUUAUCAAUUGUUUUACCUUCACUUUUUUAAUGUGUUUCAUGUGUUUAUCGACUAAUUUUGCUUCUAUUUAUUAUUAUUUCCACUGAGAACAAAACUUGAGGGAUUCAUUUAUUAUUAUUAUUAUUAUUAUUUGAUUCAUUGCAUUGUGAUCUUUGGAUGGAAAACAAGUUUAAUCAGGGUGGCUUAGUGGUAAGGUUUAAUGGUUGCCCGUGAGAUUGAAUUAUUUAUGAUUAAUUCAUAUAUUUUUUUACCAGACAUCGUAGCAGGUUGUAUGGUAAAUAUGGAACUGUUGGUUUUCUUUUGGUACAUAUCUAUCGUAGAAGGGAUUGUGUGUUGGCUAUUGUAGCUAGUUUGCGGUAAGAAAUGACUCCUAUUUCUAUUUUAUGGUACCUGGAAUGGUUUAAUACUUCACCGUCUAUAAUAUUUCACUUGGGUAAAAUAAUUAGGUGGAAUUUCUUUAUUAGGGUUUUUAUGUCUCGUCUAUGUUUGAUAAUUUCUGACGAAUAAACUUGAAAACCUGAUGAAUUGAAUGUACGGAAGUAUCAUAUACUUCAGGUUAUACAUGAUUCUCUUUUCAUGCUAAUGUCAACUUAUGCAAUUUAAGAUUGUGAUACCCCCUUAAAUUUUGCUAAUUAGUCUCUUUAUGAAAUGAUUUCUGAUAUUGUCAAUGUUAUUUUCUGUUUAGGAAAUUGUGUUUUGUUAGUUAAUUUAAGAAGAAUGAGAUUAGAGAAGUGCUGGUUUUGUUCCUCCACUGUAUAUCCGGGGCAUGGUAUUCAAUUUGUUCGCAACGAUGCCAAGGUAGGAGUUUCUUUCUUACUUUUACAUGUAUUCAAAGGUUAUAUUACUUUAUUGCUCUUAAAGGUUAUUCGCUUUUGUUUGUUUCUAUUUAGUUAUUAUCCAUAUUGGCUUAUCAUGCUACACAUUUGGUUUGAUUCUAUGGAGUUGGCCUUUGGUUUGUCCAGAAGUCGCCUUUCUGUCUUUCUCAUCCAUUUUUUAGUUACUCUCGUUGCAGUAUUUUUCUUUUUUGUUGCAUUUCUCUAUGUAGUGGCCUAAAAUUUGAUACUUGGUAUGUGUUUAUGCUUGGCAGUGUUCAGAUACAUGCAGUUUUCAGCAACAUUUAUGCUAGAUUGAGGGCAUCAAUUAAAAUAAUUUAUUGUACUAUGUUCCCUACAUGUCAUUCGUGCUGUUUGCAUUGAUUUUAAUUUCUGAUGGUCCAAACAUUUGCAGAUUUUCCAUUUCUGUAGAUCGAAAUGCCACAAGAACUCCAAGAUGAAGAGGAAUCCCCGUAAAGUAAAAUGGACCAAGGCCUAUAGGCGUUUGCAUGGAAAGGACAUGACACAGGUGAUAGACCUAAGGCAUUGAUUUUGGACUUUUUAUUGCAUUAUUACAAUGCUUAUACCAAAACACUGCAUGAUUUCUAUUUCUUUUCUUUUUGCACCAGGAUUCAACAUUUGAGUUUGAGAGAAAACGUAAUAGGCCGGAGAGAUAUGAUAGAAACCUUGCAGAGAAUACUCUGAAGGCCAUUAAAAAGAUUGAUAAAAUCAGAUCAGACAGGGCAUCUGACCACAUCAAAAACAGGUUGGUUUGUGGUGCUUUCAGUUCCCAUUGAAAGAUAUUAUAACAUGCACUUUAGUAAAUAAUAACCCUUCCAUUUUUAAAUCUUUUUCCAGGCUUAAGACAGGCAAAGUCCAGAGGCAGAAAGAAGCAAUGAAGCAAUUGGAGCUGGGCAUUCACUUGGUCAAAGCUCCGCUCGCACUUGCACAAGAUUCAUCUCUUUGUCUUCCAAAAAUCAAAGUCAAUGUGUCCCAAGCACAGACAGAAGAGAAUCAGCCCAUGGAAGAGUGAAAUUGGUUUUGCUGUUCCUCGGCUUGGUAUUUUUGUCCACCAAAAUCUUAUGCAUGCAACUCGUGGCUUAAAUUAUCAAGAGGUUUUUUAUGUUGUGUCUAGCGGUCUAGAAUUUUGAUUAGCAUGUUCAAAUGUUAUUGUUUUGAGUAGCAUAUUUUGUAGUCACUAAUUAUGGAAAAGUCAUUAAAAACGGAUUAUCUUUGUUUUUCCCUUUUAAAUGUGGUGUUGAAUAUCUAGACUGAUAAUUUCUGGGGAUAGUCUAAGAAUCUUAAAUUUUAUAGAAAGCCAAUAAAGUGCUUGCUGGACGAAAUGUGGUGAUUAAUUGAAUUGCAAGGUCAUACAUGCCGUUAAUUUUUUAAUAGCUGAUAAAUGAGUAUGACAUAGUGCUUAUAAAUUUUCUAAGAAGGAUGUCUUUAGAUGAAUGGAAUUGUUUGAUAGCUUGAGGUUAUAAAUCUUUGUAUUGAUUUUUCUCAACAAUCUGAAGCCUGUCAUACUUAGCAAAUUUUUCUGUGAGAAUGGGUGUUUAAGAAUUGUGAAUUGUCUUGAAAUAUAUGCGGUUGUGAUGGUUGAUAUAUUAUCAAGCAUGCAAUAUAUAUCACUGUCAUGACAGGUUUUUAUAGGAAAUAUUUGAAAUCGGUACGAAUUUAUAUUCCUGUUACAUGGAAAUAUAUAUUUAGCUUUAAAGUUAAAAUUUUAAUAGAAAUUUUAAUUUAAUUAAUAUUUUUAUCCUUAAAAACAAAACAAAACAAAACAAAACAUAAUAUAAUAAUUAUCAUACAAAUAAAUAUUAUUUAAUUAAAAUAUUUUUUCAAAAGCCAUGUUUUAGCGGCGUUUGUUAAAAAGCGCCGCUAAAACUCAUCUUCAUUGUGGCGUUUGUUUUUUAAGCGUCGCUAAAGGUCAGGGUCUUUAGCGGCAUUUGUCGGAAAAGCGUCGCUAAAAGUCAUCGUCUUUAGCGGCGUUUGUCGAAAAAGCGCCGCUAAAGGUCAUGGUCUUUAGCGGCGUUUGUGGGAAAAGCGCCGCUAAAGGUUAUGACCUUUAGCGGCGUUUGUGGGAAAGCGCCGCUAAAGUUAGCGACGCUGUCAUUAGCGGCGUUUUUUGCGACGCUUCUCAAAGCGCCGCAAAUUCUUUUAGCGGCGCUAAAAAAUGCCACUAAAGGCCUAAAAAAGCGCCGCUAAAAACCUGUUUUGGUGUAGUGCGUCCUUAAAAUCCCACGCCAAGUAGAAGAAGCAUUCGACUUUUGUUCCACCUCCAUAAAGGAUGCAGCAAGCAGAUAUUUCUUCCAGAAAACAUCGCACCACAAGGAAUUCUGCUUGUUAAAGAGACUCCAAGCAGCCUUUGAUAACAUAUGGCUAGAUUAUUUAGUAAAUAACAAGCAUUACUAUCAGGAUAUUUCUAUCAUUUUAUAUUUAACUCUAGAAAAAUACACAUUAUGAGAUUUGAAACUAAAAUACCAUGGUGUUUAAUAUCUUAAGUUUACCAUUUCAACUAAAGUCUCAUUUAUUUGUUUUGUUAAGUUUUUAUAAAUAUAUUUGUUAUAAAAAAAUUUAUACCCACAUUAUGAGUGUGUUGUAAUUAAUUUUUAUGACCGUAAAAUAUAUAUUAAAGAUACAUUAAUUUCACAUAAAAAUUAACUAUAUGAUGAGAUAAAGUUAAAAAAAAUUAAAUUAUGAUAUAAAAAUUAAAGAAACAUGAUCGAAUAAUCAGAACUUAAUUCAAAACAAAAUCUUAUUUAUAAUGUUAUUAAUCGCAUUGAAACCCUCUAUCAUAACAAAAUUAGGAGGGGAUUUAAAACUAUUUCCUUCCCAUCACUUUCUUAUAAAUAUUAUAACGUGUGACAAAAAAAAAGUUUAACCUAUCACAUUAAAGGCAAAUAAGUUAAACUUAUCGCACUAAAGGCAUAUACCUAUUUAAAGGAACCUUAGCCUAUUAUAUUUAAAUACACAGCUUGAAAUUAAAAAGGAACCAUUGACCAAAAUAUUAAACUAAAUUUAUAUUAGACCAUGAUUAUUGACAAAAUUUUUUUUAUUUACAAUAAAAAUGCUAGAUUUUUAUAUAUGUAUCACCUGUGAAAAAAAAAUAAUUUACAAAAAUAAUUAAUUUUUUGUAUAAUGAAAGUAGUAUUGCAUUACACGUAUUGUGAGGUGAGGUCCAUUAUAGUUACAGUGUCGGCACCUUAAUCCACCGUUUGGUUCUGCAUUUCUGAUGAUCAUCAUGCCUAAUCAAUGCAACAGCUAUUGGGCGAUUGAAGUUCCAAAUACAGGCUUUCAUCACCGUCGAUAUCGUCAAUAUCAAGCGAGUAUACGACAUCUUCCCUACUCCAACCCCCACGCAAUAACACAACCGACAAAACCCGCGUAUGCCACGCGGCGUCAUCUCCGUCGAUCAAGGGCCGGGUCCCAUUUUUUGGUUUAAUCUGUGAUUGAUCACAGCCGUCCAUCAUCAUCAUGUCCUUCACCUCCUCUUCUCUCCACCCUCCAUCUCUCAACCUCCAGAACACUUCCUCCAAACACCCGCCUAACCUGAACUCCUCCUCCUCCUUCCUCCACCACCACCCUGUCGUCACCCCACGCGCCACCACCCUCCUCCCUUUCUCCGCCACGUCCGUCCAAAACUCGAUCCUCCGAGCCACUGUCGCCGCCCAAGCCGGCACUUUGUUAUCAACGCCAUUCCUUUUCUUCCUCUUGAAAGGCUUGAAAACCCCACCUCUCCUCAAAAACUCAACCUCUUGAAAAAACCUAUUAACAUCAAAGCUCAAUAUCCUAACCUCCUCACCGUCGACGUAAAAAACAGGGUUUCCCGCCAUGUUCGGCGUCGAAGGGAUAUAACAAUUCCGAUAUAUAGGAAUUAAAACAGGCGCUGUUAUAAACAAUCUUUUAACCAAACCCAAAGCUUCAUUGGGAUUCGAAGGUUUAGUACCCCAAGACGGAGACCAAAAGUUAUGCAACGUAAUGUUCUUUGAUAAAGACAAUAAAGGAAGAUUGAGGAGAACGUUGAGUUGCUGAGGUGAUGAUGAUCGCCAAUUUGGGAACGAAGGGUCGACGGGGAGACCUUCUUGAAGUAUAGAACGGAGGUCGGGUGGGAAAGUGAAGUGAAAAGCCGAUUCGAUGGAGGUGAAUUCGUGGUCGGUUAAACCAGGCAGGAUGGGGAUGUCGAGGGUUUGAAGAUGGUGGAUAAGGGUUUUGGAAUAUGCAGCGAAAGAGAAACAAGCGAGCUUUGAUCUUGGCGGUGGAGCUUUGAGUAAAGGGUUUGGACGGUGGGUUUGGGCUGUCGUUGCUGUUGCUGUUGCUGUUGCAGCCAUUGGAGAUUCAGCUGAAGAAAUUGAGAGCUUUUUUUUUCUGCAAUGGCAGCUGCCGGUAGGUUUAAAAGGAGAUUCAAGAUUGAUAAGUGGGAACCGAAAGAAGAAGAGAUUGAGGAAGAAAUAUGUAAGAGUAAUCGAUGGAGGAGAACGGGGAAGCUCACAUGGAAGCCUCUUCUUACGUUGACAAUGUCGUUUCUUCUGCUUAUAUGCAUUUCUACAGGGUUAAUUCCAUAAUACAUCCUUUAACUACAACCAAAAUUUUAUAUUGGUCGUCAAAUUUUAAAAACAUUUAAAUUGAGUUUCAAAGCAUCAAUAUCUUAUUGAUGCUUAAAAUAUUUAAAACAGGUAGAUUAAAUAAUACAUAAGUGUAUACUUGUAUAAAUAACUUGGAUCUGGCAUGUUAAAUAAAAAAGAAAUAGUGUUUUUAAAUUUUAUUGCCAUUGUCUGUUUUUUAACAUGUCAUUUUCAAGGUGUCUAUGUGAUAGAUACACGCAUGUUUACAAUUUGAUCUUUAUGUUUAAAAUAUACUCCAUAUCAUACCAAAACUAAUAUUUAACGUCUAAACUGACAAAAUGACAUAUUUGAUAUAAUGUUGAUGCUUUAAGGAUUCAAUUAGAACAUAUGUAGAUAGCUUAGACCUAACGUGUUAAGAAAAAGAAAUAGUGCUCCUAAAUUUAUUUUUAUUGGCAUUGUCUUUGUUUUAGCGCGUGAAAUCCAGAUUAUCCAUAUAAUAAGUAUCCACAUAUUUACAAAUUGAUACGUAUGUUUUGAAUAUACUCCAAAUCAAACCAAAGUUAGUAUUUAACAUCUAAAUUGACAAAAGGUUAUGCUUGUUAUAAUAUUUGAUACUUUGAAGAUUCAAUCAGAACAUUUUCAAGUUUUAGGACCAAAUUAAAAUUUAGGCUAUAACUUGAGGAUGUUUAGUGAAAUUAACCCUAUAUACAGAAUAUAUGAAAUCACUAUCAUGAGCCUGCAAUGUAUUUGUUUGCAUCUGCUUCCUUGUUACUUACUUCAAUAAAAGGGUAAAGCCAAAGAGAAAAAUGGAAAUCCAAGGCUGGAAUUGUGAAGUUUCUCCUAAUCCAUUACCCUAUUCCUUCAUUUGGGAUAAUAUUUUUGGCACCUCCAUCAACAAUAAAAACUAAAAGAAGGCAUUUACACACUAUUUUGCUCAUCUUACUUCAACAAACCAAUGAGUCCAAAACAUUGCUUGUCAAUGAGAUGUAAAUUAAAUUAGAGUUUACAAGUAGAAUCACAAUUAUAAAUAAUAAGUGUUGGAUUAAUUAUAAUUAAAACUAAUUCAAUUAUUUUAUAAAAUAAUUGAGUCUUAGUUCGAUUGGUAUGGAUAUUAUUGUCAAUAUAGGAGGACGUGAGUUUAAGUGCGCUGAAGCUUAUUAUCCUUCUAUCUAUGGGUUGGGAAGGGGUUAUAGGUAGUUUUAAGCAUUGAGUCAAAAAGUGUAAAUACAAUCAAAACCUAUAAUAAAAUUAUUAAGAAAAUAGACUUGAGUUUAGUUUUUUCAACCUUGACCCAACUCCUUCCAUGGUUCAAAAAUAAAAAUAUAUAAUAAUUUUAUAUUAAUAUUUAUAUAUAUUUUAUAAUUAAAUUUAAAUAAAAAUAUUUUUAUUAUUUUCAAACAAUGGGUUAUUUAGGAACCAAAUUUAAAUCUGACUCAUGAAUACCUUUAAACAUACUCAAAGCAUAAUUGGCAUAAACCACGACGUUUUAAGUCUAAUAAAUUUUUGUACAAUUGAAAUUACUUAUAUUAAUUAUUAAAAAUAUUAGUUCAGACAAAUAAAUGUUAGGUGUAAUGAUAAGACAUGUUGCAUUCUUUAAAAAAAACAUAAGUUUAAAUCUUGAAAACGACAUUAUUGGAAGAAUCAAUCAUGAAUGCUAAACAUAGACAAUUAAUAUAAGAAAAAAAAAUUGAUUCACACCAAUCACAAAUUAAGGGUCUGUUUGAUUGCCAGUAAAAUAUUUUCCGUAAAAUGAUUUCGGGAAAAUGUUUUACUUUUCUGUAAAAUGAUUUACUGGAAAAUAUUUUCUGGUGUUUGAUUGAAUCUGUAUAAAAUGUUUUCGGCUGUUUGGCAGAUUUCCUGGAAAUAUUUUUCGAAAAAAUUGUUUUUACAUAUAUUGAUAUAUAUUAAUAAAUUUUUAUAUUUUAAAUUAUUUUUACAUAUAUUGCAAUGAUUUAUUUAUAAUAAUACUCAAUUAUUAAGCCACAUAUUAAUCGUUAUAAAUUGAAAAAAAUUAAUAUCAAAUAAAUUAUUUGUAAUUGUGUUAAAAAAAACAAGUAUUGAAUAAUUAAAAAAACAAGUUACUGGAAAAUCGAUAAAUAGAAGCAAUUUUCUACCGGAAACGAAGAAAUGAACGAAGGAGGCGAUAGAGAGGAGAGAACGGAAAAUGUCUUACGGAAAUUGAAAGGGUAAGACAUUUUCCCUAAAAUGUAACCCAUUUUCCCUUGUUUUGGAGUUCAUUUUCCAAAUGGAAAAUGUUUUCCACCAAUCAAACGCUGGAAAAGUUGGAAAUGAUUUUCCGGAAAAUCAAUUCCUUCAAUCAAACAGACCCUAACUACAAAACUACAAAAGAGGAGAGGCAAUUCCUAUUAGGGCAAGAAGAGGCCUUAGCUACCUUUAGUUACUUCAAAUUAUUUAAAAAAUGAUAAAAUUAUAUUUUUAUUCAAAAAAUUUAUAAUUUAAUUCUUUCCUUUCAAAAUAAAUUUUUUAAUUUACCCCUUUGAGUGUAGGCUUAACUAAUUUUCAACAAUAUUUGAAAUCUAAUGAUCUAAAAAAAUACCUUGUUAAAAUUAAUGUUGAUAAUGGUAAUACAGAACAGUUGUAAAGCAAUAAGAAAAAAAUAAAACAUACAGAUUUUACGUGAAAAUUCCUUUCGGGAAAAACCACGAGCAGAAGAGAAGAAAAUUCACUAAUGUUGAAAAUCGAAUGAUAUAAAAUGAGUUUUGACUACAUCUAUUUAAAUGUUGAAAAACCCUAUUCUAAUCAAUGUUAAAUAUAAGAAGUAUAGUUCUGUACGGAUUCUACUUGUGCAACAUAGUCUGUACACAGAUCUUUUUAUUUUACUACUAUAUUUUAUUUCUUUAAUAAGAAUUCGGAUCACCCAACUUUAACAAACAUAUUAGAUUAAAUUGCAAUGAUAAAGAGAAUUUAUUAAAAAAAAAAGAUAAAGAAUAGAAUCAAAAGAUUAAUGUGAAGCAUAUGAUUGAUUUGAGACAGUGAAAUGGAAACCAGCUUAUUUAUGAUAGUUACUUAAAGCUAUAAGAAUUUUUAAAUGAUAUUUUUUAAUUUUCCAAUCAAAUUAUCAAGUAAAUUGACUAUGUUUACCCACAAAUGACACAAAUUUCUUCUUCAUCACCUAAAACAAAAUUUUAAUAGCCCACCUAUCCAUAAAGAAAGAGAGCAGAAAUGGUCUCAUCACAACAUGACAUACUUUUCCAUUCAUUUUCAACAUCUAUUAAAGUGAUCCAAUUAAAUAAUAUUGUAGGCAAAAUCAGUUUAAAAAGUUAAAUAAAAAAAAGAGAGGAAGGCAAAGUUCAUCAAAAUCUUGAAUCUUUUUCCUUUGCUUUGAUUAUUAUGAUUCCCAAGGACCCACAAUUUUGUACUUAUAAUGUUUGAAGAGUGAAGACAAAAUUGGCUAUGGGAUUCUGGAAUUGAAGAAAAUAUUGCCACAUGGCAUGAAAUUUUUUAGGCUAAAUAUUUCAAAAUGGGGAUUGUUAAAGGAGGGGCUGAUAUUUAUACAUUUUGGUUGCACAACAUUGGAAUCCAAUGAUUUUUCCCUUCUUUAAACUUAUGUAGGAUUCGGUAAAAUGUAGCAUUCACUUUUGAAGGACUAAUGAAAAGGAAGUGGGUUUCAGCUCCUUUUAAGCGAGUUUAAAGAAUUUAGCGAAAUAAGUCAAUUUUAAAGAGAGAAAACGAGAAUGUGUCAUAUAGCAUGUAUUUUUCGACUUUUCUUUUUUAUACAUUAGCUCAUUUAGUCAAAUGGUUAAAUGUUAAUAGUUUUGUUCUUAAGUCUCGAGUUUGAUUCCUUUAGUUAGAUGGUUAAAUAAUAGUGAUUUUAUCCUUGAGUCCCAUUUCAAGUUUUUUUUUUAAUUUUUAAUUAAUUUAUUAAAUUAAUAAAUAUAUUAUUUUCAAGUUUUUUUAUUUUUAAUUCAUCUAUUUAAUUAAUAACUCUUUUACUUAUACAAUCAAAUAAUUAUUGCAAAUUAUAUAAUAAAAAUAUAUUUUUUUAUAAAAUUGAUAUUUAUUAUCAUAUUAAAUAUUUUUUAUUUUUUUAAAAACAUCAACUAAUCUUUUUUUAUAUAUAUUUUUGAUAUAUAAUAUUUAUAUGUCAAAUAUUUAUUUUAUCCACCUAUAUUAUAUUGUGGGUAUGGUGAUUUCUAAUAUUAUAAAAUCAAAUAAUUAUUUCAAAUGUCAUUCUUAUUUUUAUAUGUAAAAUAAUUCAAAUAUCAUUGUUUUUUCAUAUGCGUUGUGGGUGCGAUAUUUCAAAUAUUUUUAUAUGUGAAAUAUUUCAAUUAAUUAUUUAAAAUAUAAUUAUUUUUAUAUGUGAAAUAUUUUAAAUAUACAUACAAAAAUAUAUAAUACUAAAAUUUACUACAUUUAUGAUAUGGAUUGAAAAAUAAAUAUUACACAUAUAUAAAUUAUAUUUACUAAAAAUAAUGAUAUUUCGCAAUAAUUAUUUGAUUUUAUAAAUAAAAGAGUUAUUAAUUAAAAAUGAAUUAAAAUUAAUAGAACUUGAAAAUAAUAUAUUUAUUAAUUAAAAAUAAAAAAGAAGAAGCUUAAAACAACAUGAAAUAAAAAACUACAAAUGUGCUUGAAAAAGGAAUUGAACCUAUGACUCAAGAAUAAAAUCAAUAUUAUUUAAUCAUUUAACCAAAGGAGUGACAUAUUAGGCUAUUAUAUAUACAAAGCCAGUUAAGUGGCAUGUUCAAAGUUGAUAUGUACUUAGAAUCUUUCAAUUGGGGAUAAAUGUAAUAAGUUAGGGUUUCAAAUCAGAAACUUUUAAACCUCGUUGUCAUGUAUUGAAAUUGUAUUUACUUAUGCAUUUUGUUUGUCAUGUAUUGUAAUUGAUUGUAAUUUGUAUAAGUGGAUUUGGUUUUGUCUGUAUUAGUGAUGUAAUACAUAAGAUCCAGAUCUGGUUAAUCGGAUCGGGUUAAGGGCAUUACAAGUUAGAUAUUAGAGCCCCGAUUUAGUCAAUUCUUGGACUAUGAAUGUGAAGAAACCCUGUAUGCAUAAUAGGUUGAACCUAGUAGAGUUCUUCAAGUAUGUUGAAAAUUUUCUUACCAUGAGAUGGAUGUAUUGGUAAUAGUUUAAUAAAGAUAAAUAAUGAUGAAAUAAAAAAACAAAAGAAAGGUAAAGAAUCGAUUCAUUAAUGUGAAUAAAAAUAGAUGUUACAUGAUUUAGAGGACAACAGAAAGGAAAGAUCGAAUAAAAAGAAAUUUAGUCCUCUCCCUCAGUAUGAUGCUCAGUAGAUUCGGCAAGAACCUUAUCAGCUAAGAGGACCUCCUCUGUUUGCUCUAUUUCACUUUUAGAUUGCUCUAAGUCAUUGAGCUUCUCAAGACUCUCUUCACCCUCUAUUUCGGGCGAGUUAAGGAUGAAAAAACCAGUUAUUUGUUUCCAUUUUAACUGGAAUUCUUCCCACACUUUACCCUUGGGAUUGUAAACAUUGAAAUCAAAUGAAUCAGUAGAAAUGUCUUUUAGGAAGUCGAAGUCUACUUGACUUAAAGCCAUGGGACCAGCGGCCAUUUGAGUGUGGAGAACCAAGUUAGCCUUUAACCCUGGCAUUACUUCGGUCAAGUUCUUGGGUGUGUCAUAUUGGUAUUUUCUAAAGGUUUCAUAAUUAGAUUGGUGAAAACUAUCCAAUUUAACCUCAUAGUGCAACUUCUAGGUAUAGAGUUGCUUCUUUAAUGAAGACUCGCUCUCCUCCAAUGACUUAACCUUUCUCUCUAACAAUUUACAUUGACCAUCCGGGUCUAUGUUUUUGAGGUUUCAAGUCAUGGUACAUGAGUCAAAAUGUUCAACUUCGCUUUUAAGAACUUGUUCAUUAUAGCGUAGCUCCUCUAUCAUCUUAAUUUUUGACUUAUUUGACUUCUCCAAGCUUGCAACCUUGCCUUUAUGGUAAUUGUUGAACUCCUAAAGAGUUCCACUUAAUAGCCCAUAUUCCACAGAUAGAGCCUGGACAAAUUUAGCCAACUGUGAGAUAGGAGAAGAAUCCAAAUUAGAGUCCAGGUAAAAUCGAAAUCCCUCUAUUAACUCGAGAGGUAUCAAGUUGUAUUGAUUCUGAAAUAUGGAGCUCAAAGAAAUAGAUGAUAAACCUGAGGCAUAAAAGCUUUGCCAUGGAAAGAAUUCGUCACUCUCAGUAGAGGAAGAAAGUUGUGAUUUAAGAUUUAUGGGGAUUAUAGGUGGAUUUAAUGAUAAAUUUUCUGUUAGGAUAUCAUCAUAAGAAGAGCCCGUGUUUUGAGCAGGUGAGUUUGUAGUUUGGGCGGGCUCCACUAGGACUGAUGGCACAGUAGACAAUAAUAAAACUGAAGGAUAAAGAACCUUUGGGUCUGGAAGUCCCUUCUUAAGUCUACGCCACGUUUUCUAUGGAGGCUCACUCUCCUUAGCAUCUAAAAUAUCUUCACUUGUUCUAGGCCUUUUUUGGUACUUCUUUCUAACUGGUUUCUUAGAAAGAAUAGCUAAAGCACUUUCCUUAACACAAGACUUUUCCAAGAUAGCUUUGAUAUCCAUAUUCGGUGUUAAAUGAUUGAAGUGUGGGAUUUUGGAUUGGGUUUUGCACCAUCAAUGUAAGUGUUAGCUUCGCUUGAAGAAAAAGAAGUAAGAGGAUGAAUACCAGUAGUAAUAAGCUAAUUGUAGGAACGAAUCUCAUAGAAUUCAUAAAUUUAGAAUGGAGGUUCUUCCGCACGCCCGAUUAAGAUUUGUGCAAAUACAAUACUGGCAUUAAAUGGCUAAGCUUCUAAAGCUAAGGGUGUAUUAUAGUUGUCUAGCCAACUGAUGUGGGUAGUACUGCCGACCAUUGGGACUUUGAAUUCCUAAGUAGUAUUGAAAAACGUUUCUAACUGUAACUAAUUCUACCAACUCAAGAAUACCCCCCAUGUUUAGAUGUUUGAACCGCUUAUUGGCACUGUUCGAGUCCAGAGGUUGACUUUGAGAACAAAUAGAUUUCUUGAGAAGUGACCGGCAAGUAGAAAAACCAAAUCCAUCCUCAAGCUUGCAAAUGACCCUUAUAAAAUUUUCCUUUUUCCAAUGUAGAUUGGAGAGACUAUUUUGAAUGAUUGGGUUAACCUUGACGAACACUGAAGUAGGUAGAACCAACACUAGCCCUUUGUUUGGUAAUCUUUAGUUGAUAAUUUUUUAAAAAAAACUCCUAAGAGGGGUAGUUCAUUUCGUUGGAAACGAUCGAUAAAAUAAGCUACUAGAGUCCACCAAGGUAACGCUGACAGUUGUCUCAAUGUGAUACCAUACUCAGUCAAAAUUGAGCAAAAGUUGGGGUGUAAGGGUAAGUAGAAUCCAGCCUUUAAUAGAAUGAAAAUAAGGAUAAAACCUUGGGUGUUGUCACUUAGACUGCACCCUGGUUGUAUUUCAACAUUGUAAGCAAAGUUUGGAUGACAGAAGCCUCAGGCUACUAAGAGUCGGUCUGCUUCUUCUUUGGUGGAAUAUCAUAGAAGAGUAUUUUCAAGUUCAUGGGGUCUCAUAAUGGUAUGAUUUUUAGAGGUUAAGUUUUGACUACUUUGGUCACAACUUUUAUCGGGAGCAUUCAUUCUUGGCAUCUUUAAAUGAAAAUAAGAAGUAUGAAAAGGAAAAGGAGAUAGGAUUACCUUUAAGGGAUCUAGAAUCAUAGAAGAUGAAAGCAGAAAGACAAAUCAGAAAAGCUAAUAGGAAGUUUGAAGAGUUUAGCAAAAGCAUUAAAAAAAGCUUUUGGGGGCCCUAUUUUAUAAAUACAAAUGUGCUCAAGAAGUCACUCUGUGAAAAUUGCUUGAAUUCUCCAAUGCAGGUUUGACAUCUUUCAAAAGGGUAAGAGUGUGAUGUUCAAGUUCGAGUGUUUAACCGCCAAAAUUUUGAUUUUAUCCAAAGAAGUAGUUUAAUGACAUCUCAUUAAUAAGACUUUUGAAGAGUAUGCCAAUGAGAAAGAAACUUUGAAGUGUAUGUAAGGGAAUUCGUGUCGUCGCUGACAUGUGUUUGUCAUGUAUAGAAAAUGAUAUCUAGGUAAUUGAAUUCUAAAAUGGAUGAAAAUUUCGAGAACGAUAUUUUUGUUAAGGGGAGGAGAGUUGUAACACACUAGUUCUAUUGGGCUUGAGGUGUGGUGUAAAGUCCUAAAGUGGCAGAGUAGUUUUCGCACAUUUUGGCGUAUAGAGUGGGAGUAUAUAGUUAUAUGUUUAAGUUAAUAAAGGUUACGUGUCAGGUGGCUAUGUUAGUUGGAAUAAGACCAACGGCCAAGUAAAAUAGUAUUGUGAGUAUGAGUUCACGUCAGAGGUAUAGUGCACCCAUAACUAUAGUAUUAUGCAAGUUAAUAUGCAAGGUAUGCUGGUUAGGAACCAACUGAA